rnacentral:lncRNA from 1 species
AGGCAAUUAGAGUGUAUAUAACCUUGGUGGACGCUUUUAAUUAGAAAAGCACACAUCAUAGCUCUAAAUAAAAUGUUUGAUUAGUUCUUUGUUACCAUUUCUGGCUGGCAUAAUGCAUGAGUAGUAUGCAUAACCCAUUAAUUACCUUUGGUUGAAACAAGUUAAUGUGUGUUGACAAUGAUAAAUCUUAGCCUUUCUUUCUCCAGAUUUCAUUAUUAGAUACAAAAACAUGCAAAUACAUGUAUAAUUUUAGCUUUUGGCCCUUGUAUGUUCUAAAAGAUUCAGAAUAGUGUAAUGCAGCACAUUUUUCUCAUUUGUUGUGCUAAAAAAUUCUUAGACUUUUUUCAAAGAUUUGACGAAAAAGUUAUCUAACGUUGAAUCAAUAUCUUUUAAAAAACAACAAGGAACAUGUCGGCUCUUGUGCUCAUAUAAGGUAUCUAACGUUCCUACACAUCAAAGACUUUUGCUAUCGGUAUUCGGAUUAUCCUCUUAACCACUAUUCAUUUGUGCUAGAGUUCAAAAUUUUAGACACAAAGCUAUUUAAUCAUUGAAAUUAACAUCAACUUUAUAAAGUUAAUUAAUAUAUUUAGUGAAAAGAAUAUAGUAAAAGUUUAUACAUACAUUUUUUGAAGCUUCUUAAUGUAGCGGUAGCCUUUGCAUCAAAUAUAGACUCCAUAAUUCCAGCUUGCUUUUAGCUUUAAACAAGGUCAAACUGAGCAGUUCUAUCCAAUAGUAAAGUUCAUGGUUAGUAGGUGGCCGUGUCACCUGUUGGUUCUCUCUAAGCAGCCGUGACAGCUGGCCCCGCAUGAUGAUUCUUGGAACAAUUAUUUCAAACAAUGCAACUUGCGUUUACCUUGUCCUGAAAAUUUUAAAUUUAGUAAUCAUUCAAUCUCUACCCAAGUCUAAUAAAUAAUUUUUUUAAAAAAGUACAUAAAUAAAUAAAAAAUCAAUAAAAUAAAAUCCUUAAAAACAAAAAACUUAGAUGAAAGGAUAUACAAGCAUCAUAAAAUAAAACCUAUCUGGAUAUUGUACUGUAUCCAGAAAAGUCCUGCUGAAUGACUACUUGUCCGAACCCACCAGCAAUAUUAAAAAAGACUUGUCUGAAAAAGCUUUUAAUUAACAAUAAAAGCCGACCAAAUUUAGUCGUAUAUCUCCUACCAAAACCGCACUUAAGUCUGUCCGUAAACAUCAUAAUAACGUAGACCGCCACACAUAAUGAGGUACACAUCUCGCUCAAGCCACUUAAGCCUACAAACUGGAAUCUCAUGCACACCUCACGAUCCAUAUCCAGCUGACCGAAUUUCGUGGUACACGUCCAACCAAAACCGCACUUAAGUUUAUCCGUAAGCCAGCAUAAUAACGUAGACCGCCACUCAUAAUGAGGUCCACAUCUCGUUCAAGCCACUUAAGCUGACAAAUUGGAACCUCAUGCACACCUCACGAUCCAUAUACAGCAGACCGAAUUUUGUGGUAUAUGUCCAAUCAAAGACGAAACUAAUUAAUUUUUGUUGAGAUUCAAAGAUAAAAAAAUUAAAAAUUAAAAUUUUUUAAAAUUAAUAUGUUGAAUUUAACCAACGAUCAAAAGAUUUAUAAUAGAUAAUAAUUUUAUAUAACAUGUAAGUAAGAAAAUAAAAAAAAUUAUAAUAAUUAUUUAAGAAAGUUAUGCUUGACAAUGUUUUCUAGAUUCAAAUUCAUCAAUUAUUGACUUUGUAUUGAAAAGACUAGCAAUGUCUUUCUCAAUAUAAAUAACUAAAUUAUCUACAAGAAACUCAUCAACCAUUUUGUUCCGGAGUCUUGUUUUCACAAUUUUCAUUACUGAAAAGGCUUUCUCUGUAGUUGCUGUAAAAAUUGAAAUAGUCAAAAUAAGGCGAAUUAAUUUAUCAAUCAAGUGGUAAUUCUUUGACUUUUUUGUUUCUGCUAAUCUCUGACAAAAUUCAGAAAGUAUCUUAAUAUCUUAAAAACUUUGAUAAUGAGGUAUAUAGAACUCGUAAUGCCUCAAUUGUAACCUCAAAAUAAGCUUUUCUUGUUCUGUGAAAUCUUGAAAAUAAAAACUCUCUGCUAACUUGCAGUUAUUAUCAAUAUUGAAUGAUUUGUAAUUGUUAUUAGGAUUCAAAACAGUGCUUAAAGUUAAAAGUUUCAUAGCUUGCUCAUUGAAUUUCGAAUUCAAUUCUUGUAACUGAGUAUCUAUCGUCACUAAGAAUAUAUCAACUCGAUAAUGAUGCUCCACAGUUACAUCUAGUUGACGAGAUCGACCUUUGCCCAAGAUAUAUCGUGCACCCAUGUCAGGAAUUUCUAUCUCAUGUUUUUGACAAAAUUUUUUCACAUUCUCAGAUAAAUUAGACCACCCAUCAUCUCUCAACUUCUGAAGGAGUGAUUUUGUAGUAAAACCAAGAUGAAUUGCAUUUAAAAUAUCUUAAGAGCGUAAUUGUAAUGCUUGGCAAAGAACAUUAGUGAUUCCCAUGAUCUCAUACAUCAAGUGUAAUAUGAAAAUAAAUUUAAAUGAUGCUAAUAUUUUACUAGCAGCAGAAGCAUCACCUCUUUGUGAAUAACUGGCCCCUUCAUCAAUAAUACUUUUCACAACAGUGCAAGUUGCAUCAAACAUUCUCAUCAAGCUAUAAAUAGAAUGAAAGUGUGAGCUCCAUCGAGUAUCUCCAGCUCUUUGUAGAGUUCCCACUUAAUUUGCUCCUCUACCUGUGUCAAGUUCAUCACUAGCAAUCAUGUUUGCAAUGUCAAUUGCUUGAGCAGCUUGUAAUUGGUCAUGUCGUUUGGAAGAAGCAUUAACAAUAUUUACAAUAGAAAUCAACUAUGUAAAAAAUUCAUGAAUAUGAACUACUCCUCUAAAUGCUGCAACCAAAGUUAAUUGUAAUCUAUGAGUAUAACAAUGCACAUAAUAUGCGUAUGGACAAUCAUUAAGCACCAAAGCUUGUAAACCAUUCCAUUCACCACGCAUGUUACUAGCACCAUCAUAUCCUUGACUUCGAAUACUUUCAACUUGAAGGUUAUAACGAGAAAGAACAGACACUAACUCUUUCUUCGAAGUCAUUGCACUGGUAUCACUAACAUGUACAAGAUCAAAGAAACGUUUUUGAACAAAACCAUCACCAUCAACAAAUCUCAAAAUAAUAGCCAUUUGCUCUAUUUUAAACUCAUCUCGAGCUUCAUCAAUAAUAAUACAAAACUUAGCAUUUCCCACUUCCUCUCUAAUCGAAUUUCUCACCAUAUUAGCCAAAAUAUGUAAAAUUUCCUUUUGAACAUCAUUGGAUGUGUACUUAGUAACACGUGGAGCAUUUUCCAAGACAAGCUUAUGAAAUUUGUCAUUGUAAGAUCCUAAAAAUUUCAGCAUUCAAUGAAAUUUCCUCUAUUUUUUGAGGAUGGACUUUCAUCAUGACCUCUAAAUGCACAAGCUUGAAAAGUUAACCAUCUAACACAAUCUAUAGAAGCUUUGAGCUUAAGCCGAUUAUUCAAGAUCUCUUCUGAUGCUUGUCUUUUGAUAAGCCUAUCAAUACGUUGGGAUUUCUUAAAUAAAUCCUCACAAGAUUUUAUAGCAACAUUGUGUGGGGAAUUUGGAUUUUUCCCAACAUGAUUCAAAAGUGAACAAUUUUCUCCACUAUUUACUUUCUUCCAACUUCUGAAACCCUUUUCAAUAAAUGCAUUUGAACCUAGAUGAUUCGAGGUGUUCUUAUGAAAAAAGUAGCAUGACAAACAAAAUAUAGCAUCUUUGUCACAAGAAUACUCUAACCAAGAAAGAUAUAAUUCAAACCAAGAAGCUUGAAAACGACAAGGAUGAUCAUCAUCUGAUAGAGGACACGUCUUAAGAAUGAGUUGACAUGGCCCACUUUUGAGAUAAGCACGACGAAUUUCAUCCCUUUGAUUGAUAGGAAAUUCCCAUAUCAUUGGUCAUAAUCCAGGGUCAGGUUCUAUAUGAAAAGCAUCAAUUCUUCAAGAUUGAGCCUUGGACGCUUUGAUUCGCACUGCUUUUGUUCAUGAGUUGAAGUAUUAAGGUUUGGUGGCUCAAGCAUAGGAGAAUCAUUUGAGCGAUCUACCUCUUUUCUUUUAAAAAAAAUUGUCAAUUGUUUUCAACUUAUUCAUAUUUUAAUCAAAUCUGAAAAAAAAAACAAUGUAGUCAAUAUUCAAUAUUUUUAUUUAUUUAUAUUUAAACUUAAAAUAUUAAAUAUAAAACUAUAAUGCAUAAAAUGUAAAUAGUUAAAUAUGAUAUACAGGAUUUCACAGAAUGGUUAAAUGUAUAAAUAGUUAAAUAAUAUAAAUAAAAGGAAGAAGAUUAAAAACAAAAACUUUUCCUCCUCUUAAUUUUACACAAUGGUGGUGGGUGAUCUCUAUCUUUCUUUGUCCAAACUCACAAGCUCAUAAAUCUCUUUUUAAGAAUAAAGUGUGUUUUAAUGGUAAGUUACAAGAAAGAGUAAAGUAAAAAUAAAAAGAUAAAAGAGAAGAGAAAAGAAAAAAGAGAAAUAGGUGUAGAGAAACUUAAAUUAGGGUAAAGUUAAAGCAGGUUUGUGAGGUUGUUUGAUUUUUUUAUUUAUAUUAAUUAUUAAAUAAAAAAUUUAUUUUGAGUGAGCCAUUAAUAAUAUAUAAUAAAUAAAAUUUUCCAAAAAUUUUUGAGGGCCUAUUGAUGAAAUAUAUAUAAAAAAUAAAUAUUUUUAAAACCCAUUGUUGGCUUACCCUCCGCCCCCGAAUCAAAACCGCACUUAAGUUUGUCCGUAAAUCAUCAUAAUAACGUAGACCGCCACUCUUAAUGACGUCCACAUCUGGUUCAAGCCACUUAAGCGUACAAACUUGAACCUCAUGCGCACCUCACGAUCCAUGUCCAGAUGAUUCAAAACCGAUCGGCACACUCCAAGGCAAAAUCAAACUCUUACCCAAUAGAAAAUCUAUUGUGAUUAAAACUCAUAAUUAUAAAUAAUAAAUGAAUAUUUGUAUUGUAAAAAAAAUAAUAGAAACAGGAAAGAAAGAGAGAUGAGAGAAUGUUUUUUAUGUACUACUGAAGUAAUGUUUGGUAUGAAAAAUAUCUAGGUGGGGUGACCUAUGAAAUUGCUUACAAAUCAAUACUUAUUACUGUCGUAACGUGCGGGUCUGAGAACCCAACCGCUAGACGUCGACGAAAAUAAAGUGGUUUAGGAGUCGCCACCAAUCGUCUUAUAUCUAGGUGCGAUUGGACACCUAUUAACCCGAUUCUAAUCAACAAAGUCCUAAUUUAAGUUUAGAACGAGAACCGGUCCACGUUUUUUAGAGAAAAGUUCGGGAGUGCGGUUUCGCACGGAGAAGGGUUAGCACCUUCGUGAUGCCCGUUUCACGAACGGUACCAUUUAAUCUUAAGUUAUCCUAUUGUACCUUAAUCCUUGCUUAUUAGUUAAUUUUUUUUAUUAUGUUAGUUGAUUGAGUCUUUUAUUUGGUUUCACGGAUGCACGUGAUGUAAUCGUAAAAUGAUGUUAUGAUUUAUUCAAUUUUAAAUGAUGGAGUCGACAAUCUUUUAUUGGAAAAAUCACUCAAAGAUCAUCCCAACGCUUUGGUGAAGUCUCGAAAUUUUUCUCACCUAGAGAUAUCCCCAGAAAAACUAGUCUCUACAAGCUCCUCGGGGAAAUCCCAUCAUCGAAAAUUCCGCACCAUUUGCAAGAUAAAUGUGGCAUGCUAUGACAGGAUAAAAUGAUGAUGUCUACAUGCACGCGUUUAUUGACUUAGGUGGUUCAUAAUUCAUUCAAUUAUGUGUUUAAUAAUUUAUCACCUUGUUUAUAUGUUUAUUACUAUUUGUUAUUUUUUUAUAGAUUAUUUAUUUAUUUAUAUUUAUUUUUUGUUUUCUAUUUAAAUCCAUAUCCUUUAAUUAACGUUAUUGAUUAAUAUUUUACUUGAUUAUAUAGCUUAUAAAUAAUUAAUUAAUUUUUAAACGAUUAAAUUACCUUUAUUUAGUAAUAUUUAUUUAAGCUAAUUAACUAAUUAUAUUAAUUUAAAUUCACAUGCAACAUUAUAUAAAUUUUCUUUUAUAUAUAUUAUUUUUGACAACGAUUAUUUGAUUUAACAGGUAUUGAAGUUUAGAGUUCGGAUUUAUCCCGACGCUUCGGUGAAAAUCCGUCUCGAACUUCACUCCCAAAAAAAUCCACUCAAAAGAGGCAACUCUUUGUCCUUUUUAGGUAGUAGUACUCAAAUAACCGUUCCAUUAUAUUAUUAUUAUUUUUUAUGUUUGUAUCAUGAGUUAUUUAUUAUUAUUAUUUUUUUAUUUUGAUUAAAAUAAACAUUCAUAUUAUAUAUAUAAUUAUAUAUAAAUAACCUUUCCUAAUAUGGUUUAAAUUAUAACAAAAAAAUAUAUUUUAUUUAACAAAAUGGGUUAGACCCAAAAGCAAUUGAAACAAGCCCAUAUCAAAGAGAAGGAUUAUACCUUUCUAGGCUCAGUUUAGUCCAGCUCAAUGGCCCACAGAAGCCCAAAUCUGCUACACCCGAUCUGCUUCUUGAGGCCCACAAGGCAGAAUUCGAAACGCGAUGUUUGGUACCUGGGACACUACUCUAUACGGCACCGUUUAGCCUUGAACCUUUUAGUUCCCCGCUCCCUGAAAUGGUGCCUUUUGGUUCUCUUACACCUAGAUAUAAAAACCUUUUUUUUGGCCUUUUCUAUUAUUUUCACCUUCCUCUUUCUCUCUCUAGCCCAAAUGCUCUCCUUUCUCUCUAGCUUCAAGCCACGGCCCCCCCUUUCACCGUCGGCCUUCACUCUCCCUUACGUCGGUGGCUUGCCUUUAACCGGCGGCCCAGGUGUUCUUCCCCUCUCUACCGGUGCUGAUCUGGCCUUACCUCACUGCCGGUGCCGUUCGGAUCUUUUCUUUUCGUCGGUCGGUGGCAAUAAGAUCAAACCAAAAGUCUUCUCUCUCUCUUCUUCGUUACCUUACCGUCGGCCAGAUCUCACUAUCCCCUAAAUAUACCCAAAUCAAAAGUGCAACCCAAAUCACCCUCCGCUUUCCUCUUUUUUUUUUUUAUAUCUUAUGUAUUUUUUGUUUUUUUGUUGUUGAUUGUGGUUAGGUAGUUGGCUGCUAGAUCUUAGGAUUUCGGAUUUGAUUUGGGGUUUUUUUUUUGUUGCUAUUUGAAAAAUAAAAAAUUUCUAGUUGGAUUUAGACUUUUUUUUUGAAACGUUUUCUCUCUCAUUUUUUUUUGGUUUGAAACUCUCUUUUUGUUUUUGAAUCUCAGUUUUCUUGCCCCUCAAAAUGCUCUUUCCGGAUCGGUUUGAAACCCCCCCUUUUAAGAACUGGAUUGUCUAAAAAUUUGGACAAUCCAAAGGUGAAAUCAUGCUCUUCUGAGCAUGAUUUCACUAGGCUCUGGCAAACAGGAAGGAUUGGUAGCCAGAGGUGACCACUCUUCCCCAAAUUCGGCUACCUUUCAAGGGUAUUAAUGCCCUGUAAUGAUGAACUGGAGGAGGGGCUGAGCACACGCUCAGUCCCUUCCUGUUCAUUCAUCAUCAUUUUUUUAUUUUUUUAUUAUUUUUAUCUAUUUUUUAUUAAUUUUUUUAAUUUUUUUAAUUUUUUUAUUUUUGAGCUUUUUUUUCUUUUUUUUUAUUCUUUUGAAGUAGGUGUUUACAGUUGUCCCUCUUUGUACAUUCUUGAGAAUCAAGAAUAGUGCAAAGACAUAGACACCGUAUUCAAUUCAUCUUGGGGCAAGUUUGAUUCUAGCAAUUUGAUCUAGACUUGACCUAUCUCAAAACAAGUUUGAUUAAAAACAUGAAGUAUCUAGGCUUGACCUGGGUUCGUAAAAGAAUGAGAUUUCUAAGUUUGACUUAAGCACAACCCGUCUCAAAAUAUGUUCAAUUAAGAAAAAACAAAAAUUUCUAUAUUUGAUCUAGACUCGACCUAUCUCCAAACAGGUUCGACUUAAAAAUUGAAAUUCCUAGACUUGAUCUAGGCUCGACCUAUCUCACAACAGGUUCGACUUAAAGAAUUGAAAUUCCUAGACUUGACUUAGGCUCGACCUAUCUCACAAAACAGGUUCAAUUUUAAAAAAUGAAAUUCCUAAACUUAAUAUAAGCUCGACUUAUUUCACAACAGGUUCGAUUUAAAAAUUAAAAUUCCUAGACUUUAUCUAGGAUCAACCUAUCUCACAACAGGUUUAAUUUAAAAUUGAAAUUCCUAAACUUAAUCUAGGCUUGACCUAUCUCACAACAGGUUCGAUUUAAACAAAAUUGAAAUUCCUAAACUUAAUUUAGGCUCGACCUAUCUCAAAACAAAACAGGCUCGAUUUUAAAAAAAAAAUUAAAAUUCUUAGACUUGACUUAGGCUCGACCCAUCUCACAAAUAGGUUUGAUUUAAAAAUUAAAAUUCCUAGACUUGAUCUAGGCUCGACCUAUCUCACAACAGGUUCGAUUUAAAAAUUGAAAUUCCUAGACUUAAUCUAGGUUUGACCUAUCUCACAACAGGUUCGAUUUAAACAAAAUUGAAAUUCCUAAACUUAAUUUAGGUUAGACCUAUAUCAAAACAGGUUCGACUUAAUUCAUAAAUGCCAACUUAAUUGGAUUAACUUCACAAUGAAAAACUCAAAUCUUUUUAUCAAAGUUCUACAACCUCAACAUUUUAGGUCAGGUGGAUUCCUACUUUCAAAGCUUGGGACAUGAAUUAAUUUGGAUUAUUGUUUUCAAAAUGACCGUGUGUAUGGCUAGGCAUGUAUGCAUGAUUGAAAUGAUGAAAUGUUUUCAUGUUUAUGAUUCAUUAAGGUUCCAAGACCUUUGUUUCAUCUAAUUUUUCACUGCAGCUUUCAAUGACUUUCGUCUUGUGCCUUACUUCAUUGGCUGACAUUCUUGAUUUUCCUUAGGCGUGCCCCCUUCUUUUUGACAUUUGACUCUCUUUUUUUUUGCUCAAGUUUAAAGCUCUGCCAUUCCUUUUUCUCAUCAUCAAGUCUUUUGUUGAACAAUGAACGUAAUUUUUUUGCUUAAUUAGUUUAUUUCUUUCACCAGUCAUCAUUCAUUUCUAUGACAAUCAUUAUGUGAAAUCAUGGGAUGGUAAAGAAUAAAAGGGUUCAAAUAAAAAGGCGAAGGAGAAUUUCAUAUAUGACAAAUCAAAUAAUAUAAAGCAAAGAGAAUUUAUAGAGCAAACAUUAGAUCUUAAGUAAUGAACACUCAGACCAUUCUGAGCAAAUAAUCUGAUGUUCGACUUCAAGAAUUGUCCUUAAUUGAUGCUUUGAGCAAAUCUGUAGGUUACAAACUCCCUCACUUCCCCUGUUUUGUGAAAUUGUGGAGCUCCAUUCAUAGUGUACUUCUACCUCGAUCUUGUGUUCCAUUCGGGCUGACAUCUUUAAGUUUCAUUCUAACUUUCUGCUUUUCGACCUCAAGCUGCCUUUUUCGGGUUUUCAGCAUGAGCCUCCUCCUUUAGGUACGAGUUGCCCUUUUCGGGUUUUCAACCAUGGACCCCCUCCGUUUUUUUUUUUUUAAGUAUAGUACUUUUUCAUCGCAUCUGCGUUUAUCGAGUUAGGAAAAUCCUCCCCAUCCAUGUUAGCCAAAAUCAAAGCUUCUCUUGAAAAAGCCUUCUUUACCACAUAUGGUCCUUCCCAAUUUGGCAUUCACUUUUCCCGAAAAUCCAUCUGAUUAGGGAGUAUUCUCUUGAGAACUAGCUCUCCUUCUCGCAACUGCCUUGGACGAACUUUUUUCUCGUAUGCUUGCAUCAUCCUUCGUUGGUACAUCUGGCCGUGACAAAGGGCUGCGAGCCUUUUCUCUUCAAUUAAAUUUAAUUGCUCGUAGCGGGAGUGGACCCACUCAGCAUCUUUUAAUUUUGUUUCCAUCAACACCCUCAAUGAUGGGAUUUCUACUUCAACAGGUAGAACUGCUUCUGUACCAUAUACUAAUGAGUACGGAGUUGCCCCGGUGGAGGUACGCACUGAAGUUCGAUAUGCAUGUAAGGCAAAAGGAAGUUUCUCAUGCCAGUCUUUAUAAACUUCAGUCAUCUUUUCAACAAUCUUUUUGAUAUUUUUGUUGGUUGCCUCUACCACUCCGUUCAUCUUCGGACGGUAAGUUGUUGAGUUAUAAUGCUUGAUCUUGAAUUUAGCGCAAACCUCCUUCACCAUCGCACCAUUCAAAUUGCUUGCAUUAUCGGUAAUGAUAUUUUUCGGCAGCUCAUACCGGCAUAUGAUCUCCCUUUAGAUGAAUCUGCACACCACCUUUUGUGUCACAUUGGCAUAGUAAGCUGCUUCUACCUAUUUCAUGAAAUAAUCAAUGGCCACUAAUAUGAAUCGAUGUCCAUUAGAAGCUUUUGGCGUAAUAAGCCCAAUCACAUCCAUUCCCCACAUUGAAAAUAGCCAAGGUGUUGUGAAAACAUGCAAUGGGGCUGGUGGAGCAUGGAUUCUAUCUGCAUAAACUUGACACUUGUGGCAUUUUCGAGCAAAGUUUAUGCAGUCUGAUUCCAACGUCAACCAAUAAUAACCAACUCUCAUAAUUUGUCUAGCCAAUAUAUGUCCAUUAGCAUGAGCUCCAUAAGUUCCUUCGUGAACUUCUUUCAUUAUUUUGUUGGCUUCCGUAACAUCCACACAUCUCAAAAGUACUUGAUCUCGACUUCUUUUGUAGAGCACUUCUCCGCUAAAGAAGAAACCCAUUACUAAUUUUCCCAGAGUUCGCUUGUCAUUGUCCGUGACAUUCUCAGGAUAUACCUGGUGCUUGAUGUAUUGCAUGAUAUCAUGAUACCACGGCUUACCGUCAACCUCUUCCUUAACAUUCAAACAGUGUACGGAGACUUCACGGACUUCUAAAUCAAAAGGGCGUACAUCAGUCGCUUUUUUUAUUUUGAACAUUGCUGCGAGAGUGGCCAAAGCAUCAGCAAGCUAAUUUUCUUCUCGAGGCAAAUGGUCGAAGCUGAUUUUCUUGAACUGUUUGCUUAGUUUUGUAACCAACUUUUUAUAUGAAACUAGUUUAGAAUCUCUAGUUUCCCAUUCGCCUUUCAUUUGACAUAUCACCAAAGUCGAAUCUCCGUAAACCUCUAUCGCGCCGACCUUCAUCUCGAUUGCUGCUUGUAAUCCCAUUACCAACGCCUCAUAUUCCACUAUAUUAUUAGUACAAUUGAUAUUCAAUCUCGCCGUAGCUGGAUAGUACUUUUCAUUUGGAGAAAUCAACACUGCCCCAAUUCUGUGCCCCAAAGCAUUGGAUGUUAUAUCAAAAUACAUCUUCCAUGGAUUAAGUUCAUUGGGACUGUCUUUUUCUAUUUGCAAGACGGCCAUCAAAUCUUUAUCUGGAAAAUCGAAUCUUACAGGUUCAUAAUCCUCAUUAGUUUGAUCUGCGAGGAAAUCAGCAAUGACGCUCCCUUUGAUUGAUUUUUGGGAUACGUACACAAUAUCAUACUCAGACAAUAGCACUUGCCAUCGAGCUAUUCUCCCAAACAGAAAGGAUUUUUCAAAAAUAUACUUGAUGGGAUCUAAUUUUGCCACCAACCAUGUUGUGUGAUACAACAUAUAUUGUCGAAGCCUUUAGGAGGUCCAUGCUAGCGCACAACACAUCUUUUCGAGCACAAAGUAUUUGGACUCAUACUCCGUAAAUUUCUUGCUUAAAUAAUAUAUGGCCUGUUCUUUCUUCCCAGUUUCAUCAUGUUGUCUUAGUACACAUCCCAUAGAAUUCUUGUUCACAGUCAAAUAUAAAAUCAGAGGUUUUUCAACAGUCGAUGGCACUAACAUCGAUGGAUUUGUGAGAUAUUCUUUGAUUUUAUCAAAGGCUAUUUGACAUUCUUCAUUCCACUCUCUUGGGUCUCAUUUUCGAAGUAGCUUGAAGAUUAGAUCACAUUUACAAGUGAGCUGGGAUAUAAAUCGAGCAAUGUAAUUCAACUUCCCUAAAAAUCCUCUCACUUCUUUUUACGUUUUAGGAGGUGGUAGCUCUUGAAUAGCUCGUAUCUUAUCCGGGUCCACUUUAAUUCCCUUUUCACUUACUAUGAACCCCAAUAAUUUUCCAGAAGUAACACCGAAAGUACAUUUUGCAAGAUUCAACUUGAGCUGAAACUUUCAUAAUCUCUCGAACAGCUUUUUGAGAUUGACAGUAUGAUCUCUUUCUGUGUGAGAUUUUGCAAUCAUGCCAUCCACAUAUACCUCUAUUUCUUUAUGCAUCAUAUCGUGAAACAAAGCUACCAUUGUCCUAUGGUAGGUGGCAUAUGCAUUCUUCAAUCCAAAUGGCAUUACUUUGUAACAAAACGUUCCCCACAUGGUUACGAAUGUUGUUUUUUCCAUAUCUUUGGGUGCCAUGUUGAUCUGAUUGUAAACAGAAAAAUCAUCCAUAAAUGAGAAUAAAGCAUGCUUUGCUGUGUUGUCCAUAAGAGUAUCAAUAUGUGGCAAAGGGAAGCUAUCCUUCAAACUCGCUCUGUUCAAAUCCUUGUAAUCGACGCACAUUCAAACUUUUCCAUCCUUCUUAGGAACUGAAACUAUAUUAGCCACUCAUUCAGGAUACUUAGCCACCUCUAAGAAUCCAGCAUCAAAUUGCUUCUUUACUUCUUCUUUAAUCUUUAGCAACAUUUCUGGCUUCAUCAUUCUCAACUUCUAUUUAAUAGGCUUGUAAUCCAGUCUUAAAGGUAACUUGUGGACAACAAUGUCAGUAUUAAGACUUGGCAUGUCCUGAUAUGACCAAGCAAACACAUCCACAUAUUCACGAAGCAGUUCUUCUAGCUUCUGUCGUUCAUUAGAUGACAGCGAGGUGCCAAUCUUAACCUCUUUCUUUUAUUUCCCGUUUCCAAGAUUAAUCAUUUCUGUGAGUUCUUGAUAAGGUAAGAUCUCCCUUUCCUCCUAUUCCAACAUUCUCGAUUAAUCAAGGGGUAAGCCAUAGUCAUCCACCUCCUCUUCACUUUUCAAUUCAUCAAUGUUUGAAACUGUCUCGAAAUUGAAAUUCAAAUUGUUCUCCAGAUUGUCUUUGUGUUCAUUAUUUAAAGAUCUGCAAAUAGGUAAAAUUGAACAUGUGUAUGGGCAAGUAUUUAUUGGCUAAAAGAAUAGAUGAAAGGAAAUAUGCAAAAAGGUUGAUGAAUUAUGAAACACAUUAUGCAUUGUUAUUUAUUUAAAUGAUGAAGGUAACAGAAAGCCCUACUUAAAUAAAAAAUUACUCUUAACACCCUUAGGCAUAGGCAUUUAGAGAGAAUUAUUCAUUACAUUUCCAAAGGCUUAAAGAUGAUGGGCAAUUCCGUAGCUGUCCAAUUGGUUAACUCCUCUCCUAGUAGUACUUGAUACACCACAGGGACCUUCUCGUUAGAUUCUUCGUCUUUGAUCAUAUGGACUGACAACUCAUCAAACAUCUGCAGAACCUGAUUGACCUUUGUUGGUGCUUCGGGAUGAAUGAAACCUGCAGAGCGAAAAGUCUCAUAUAAGUACGGAAUUGCCUGUUUCCCAAAUUCUUCUUUCUUUCCCUCAAGCUGAGCCAUCCUUUUAAUCUUCUUUUGAGCUGCCAAUUUCCUUAUCUCUUCUUUGGUAGGUUUGUAUCCCAAACCAAACCUUUCUUCAUUCUUUAUUGGAGUCAAAGGACGGUUAAUUCCUUGUAAAUUCUUGCCUAGCCCCAAACCUACACGACAUCCUUUUCCCACUGUCUGCUUUACCCCCAUUUCAGUUGCUACUAACAAACAAGGAGUUGGUAUCAUUUUUCCUUUCCCCACAUAAGUAGCAUUAACAAAUUCAAAAGAUCUAAAUGAGCACUCUAGGACUUCUUUUGUUGCCUCUACAUAGGGGGUAGAUGAAGGUUGAAUGGCCAGUAUGUCUUCCUCCGUAAAUACACUUAUCAGUUAGCCUUCAACUAUAAAUUUAACCUUUUGAUGAAGGGAAGAGGGUAUGGCUCCCGCCAUAUGAAUCCAUGGACGCCCUAGUAAGCAAUUGUAGGAUGGGGCGAUGUCCAUGACUUGAAAUUGGACCUAAAAAAUGUAAGGGCCAAUUUUUAUCGGCAGUUCAAUGUAUCCUACCACAUCUCUUAUGAUUCCGCCAAAAGCCCUUACAACCAUGUGGCUGGUUCUCAUAUAGGACAGGUCUACAGGUAACUUGGUUAAGGUAGAGCGAGGCAUGACAUUUAAAGCUGAGCCAUUAUCGAUCAAGACCCUAGGUACGACGUGGUCCUUGCAUUGGAUGGUAAUGUGCAGAGCUUUAUUACUUCCUCGACCACCCGAUGGGAUUUCCUCAUCAUUAAAGGCCAUGAAGUUCCCCACUGUAAUAUUUCCCACAAUAUGAUCCAACUUUUCCACCGAUAUAUCAUGAGCCAUGUAAGCUUGAUUUAGGACCUUAAGUAGCGCAUUCCUGUGUGCUUCUGAAUUCAGAAGCAAAGAUAAUAGCGAGAUACGAGCAGACAUUCUCGUUAAUUGUUCCACCACACUAUACUCACUGUGGUUUAAUAAAUUUGAGAAAUUCACCUGCUUUUUUUUUCGUAACAUGCCUUUUAAUCUCGUUGUUCAGAGCAAUUGGAGAUUCGGUGGUUUAGUCCUUGAGAAAGGUACUUGCUUCUUUCAAAUCUUUUCCUUGUUUGGAUUUUCCUUUUUCAAUCCUUUCUGCUAUUUCAGGAGAAUAACAUCGUCCACUUCGCGUUAUUCCUCCCACACUAGUCAAAUCUAUAGAAGAUACUUGCGAAGUAAGGGGGGCCAUACCUAAGAUAUUACAUUCGUAAUUCUAGGGAACAACCUUCUCACUCUUGUACUGGAACGGGCUAGAAAUUUCAAUAGUGAUGCCAUUUUCGACAACAGUAGAGGAUGUAUCAUUCGUCGGACUCCUAUUUUUUUCAUAAAAGAUGGUCAGAGGUUUAGGUUUAUUCACCCCAGAUGAACUUGAUGCUACUUCAACUAGGGUAUCUUCAUUUAUGGUUCUGACUAAAUCCUCUUCGCCUUCUUCAUAAAAUUCAAUUACCGACAAAUCCAUCAAUUCUUGCAGCUUACAACGAAAGCUAUCAUAAUUUCGAAUGAAAUGUCCAACAAUCCCCAUAUGAAAUUUGCAAGAAUGGGUGAGAUCAUACCCUACUUUUUUUAUGUCUAUCGAUUCUGGAGUGAUGGCUUUUAUUUUGGACAACGCCUUAAACACUCUAUCCAUCGACGUUUGAAUCUUGUCGACAUUCUUUUUCACCCUUCGAAUCAUCCUUUCAUGUAUUGCAUUCACUGUCGGACUUUCAUGGUUAGGCAAGGGAUUCCCAUCAACAUUUGAAUUAUCUUUUUUAGCAAAAUUUAAAAGUCCUGUCUUAAUGAGCGAUUGGACCUUAUGUUUUAAUGCAGUGCAAUUCUUCAUGGAGUGUCCUUCAAUUCCAAAAUGGUAAUCACAAUGCGCAUUCGGAUCAUACCAUUUUGGAAAAAGAGGUCGGAGUGGUUCCAAAGGGGUUCGAGCAAUGAGUCGAUUUUCUAUGAGUUGUGGUAACAAUGUAGUGUAAGGAAUUGGGAUAGGAUCAAACUUAGGUUUUUUUUGGGUAGUUUUAGGUCCUCUUUGACCAUUGCCAAAAUUAUUGGUUGAAGCUACCGGUCUUGGUGGUGGAGCUUGUGGGAGAACAUUGGUCUGAAACAUUGGUUGUGAGGCAGGUUGGUACACAUAUGGGUUUUGUGCGAUGUUGCCUAUGUUCGGAUAAAAGGGUUGGUAUGGGGGGUACGGGUAAUAUGGGUUAAAGUUGUGGGUCUGUUGUCUGUCAUGGGCCACUACUUGUACAUCUCUUUCUUUUCUCUUGAGCAAACUCCAUUUCUUUGAGCCAGCAACCUCCUACCCUUCAAUUUUUCCACUUUUGAUAGCUCAUUCUAUUAUUUCUCCAUAUAAGACCAAAUUCGUAAAGUUUUUCGUGGCGUUACCGAUCAAGCGUUCGUAAAAUAGAGCUCGAAGUGUGUUUAUGAACAACACAGUCAUUUCUUUAUCAGUGAGAGGUGGCUGAACUUGCGCUGUUGUAUCCCUCCACCUUUGGGCAUAUUCCUUGAAGCUUUCACUUUGCUUCUUUUUCAUAGUCUGCAAUGACAACCGAUCAGGGGCUAAUUCAGCCACAUGUUUGUAUUGGGCUAUGAAGGCUCUUGCUAGAUCUUUCUAAGUCUUAAUAUGAUUUCGAUCUAGCUGUACGUACCACCGAGCAGCUGACCCAGUCAAGCUAUCUUGAAAAAAAUGGAUUAAUAGCUUGUCAUCAUGGGAUUGUGCAGCCAUCUUUCGAUAAUACAUAGUAAUAUGUGUCAUGAGACACUUUGUUCCGUCAUAUUUUUCAAAUUCUGAAACUUUGAACUUGGCCGAGAUCAAUACAUCAGGCACUAAGCAUAGUUCGGUUGCAUCCAUGGUAUCGAACCUAUCAACUCCUUCGAUAGCACGAAAAUGUUCUUUUAGUAAAUCGUACUUUUUCAUAUCUUUUUCAUUUUUUCCUGUUUGUGAUGAGUCCUUUCUUAGUUUCUCUUACUCUUUUGGAUCAUCUAAAUCUGGGACGUGUAUUGGUUCAGUAGAAUUUAUCCCAGAAUACAGCUUAAAUUGCCCAUGAGUCGAUUGAUGGCCCAUUGAAGGUGGUGUAUUGUAACAAACGGAUGGCAUCACUUAAGGGUGGACCCUUUGAGAGGUUUGGGCAUGUGAUGGAGUGAACUUUGGGGGAUAAGGUGGAUCAUCCCUUUGGUUUUCAAUGUCUUGAGCAGGUGGGUUUUCUGACGGAGCUGACUCUUCCGUAACUCUUUUUCCUUUACUUAAGCUUGUCAUCAAUUCCAUCAUCUUUGCUAACUGUUCUCUCAUUUCUUCUUGAGCUCUUUCCAUUCUAUCCAUUCGCUCUCUUUGUUCUUCUUCCAUGAUCCUUGCUCGUCGACGCAUAUUAUAGACACGUUGGUUACUUGGCUUAAGUGGUUGAGCUAUUUUUGGAACCUUAUUGUAAUCAUAAACAUGAAUUAGAUGCAUAUUCGAUGCAUGAAUGAAAUGAAGAACUGAACCCAUUAUCUUUAUUUUUAGGUGAAAAUACUUAUUGUCAUGAAAUGAUGAUUUAUGCAUGUAUGAAUGAUUAUGUACUAAAAGUAUUCGUCACAUGACACCCAACAACAAAGUCAUCCAUUGCAUAAGAUAUUGUCUUUGAUUACAACUCAGGAGUCAUCUAGAAAUAUUCACCAAUUUUAUUAUAAUGGCUAUACACCUCAUCUAAAUACUUAAUCAACUGUUGCUCUUGUUUUCCAACUAGAAAGACCUGGCUCCUUAAUAUGUCCUUCUUCUAAGCCAUGUUUCUUGCCUUGUAAGCCACCUCCCUCAUUUGCCAAACCAAGUAAUCCAUCUGGUCGUGUUUCUCUAUAUAAGCUUAUUUGUAGGAUUCACCCCACUCUUGAAUUCUGGUGCUCUGUUGCUUGAGGCGUUCAUAUUCUUGUUGAUAAGUCGUCAUGACCCCUUCGAGCUCUUCAUACUCCUAUCUUAGUAAUUGGAUAGACUCUUAUUGGAAUCGCACUUGAUUUCUUAGUCCAUCAUUAUACGCUUGAAGUUCAUUGUCUCUAUUUUCUCUCACUUGUAUUUCCCUUUGAAGUUCACUGGUUAUGGCAGAAAACUUAUUAUUCAAACUCUUAUACUUCCCUUCUCAAUUACUAUCUAUUUUUCGGACCUUAUUUCUUUGUUCAAUUACUUCUUUAUUCAUCUUCUCACACUCUUUUUGGAGGUCUUCAUACCGUUGCUUCCAACUGGCAUUUUUAGCUUCGAACUUUUUUCGAGCCAACUCACUCUCGAGCAAAGCAUUUCGUGAUUCCGGAUCAACUGGGCCAUGCAGUGCAUCUUCCUUCGGAUAUACCACAUCCUUAACUUGUUGGUCGUGCCAUAUCUGAUAUCUGGUAGUUACUUCAUCAGUGUAUCUCCCUUGGUCGACUCGGCUGGUUUGCUUUUAAGCUCGCGCAAUCUUCUCAAUCUUUUUCAGAAAACCCGGCUCUCCAUAAGCAAACUCCAAAGUAUUAAAUCGGUGUGUCAUCGGCACAAACUGCCCUGACCCAAAUUGUCUUCUCACCAUGAUUAGGGCGUAGCUGAUUACUCCCCAUGGCCCCAUUAACGGCACCCAAGGUUCAUUUUCGCAUUUGUACAAGACUGGGCGAUGAGGCAUCCACGGAGCUCUCCACGUUACUUCCACACUUAUGAGUUUUUGAAGCCCUAAGAUCCAUUGUUCCUUAGUCUUAUUUUUGAGCCAUUCACUCUCACAAAAUUCUCUGAUAGGGGCACUUUGCGGAUGAAAGAGCUUUCUAAACUUAUCGACCUUGCAUUCAAAGUGGCUUACUAUCUAGAUGGAAAGAAGCUGUGCACAUCCCAUAAAUCGUCCUUCCCCCUUUCUUCGACAAUAAUUCAGUGAUAUGAGAGUUUUUACUAGAAUAAAAGGUAAAGGGUUGGCCUUGUUGAUGACUUGCUCGAAGAAAUCUAUAAUUUUGACCUCUAUAUGUCCCAAGACUUUGGGAAAGAUCACUAGCCCAUAAAUUCCCAAGGCCAUCAUAAGCUGUCUUUACUCGGUGUCCCGAUGCUUCAUGAUAUAACUACGUAGAAAACUCCAUGAGAUACAUUCAUUGUCCCCCUUUUUCCUUAGGUUUUGGUCAACUUCCGCCGGGAUAAUACCCAUCAUCUUGGCUAACUUUCGCCUGUGUCCGAUCUUUUGUCCUCUCCAAUAUAUCUUGUUCGGAUUAUCAAGAUCGAUUUGUAGGAAAGUCGAGUACUCUUCGAUUGUGGGGACCAUAUCCACUUCAUUAAACACGAAGCACCUGUACGACGAUCCCAAAAUUGCACAAUGGCCUUCAACAACUGUUCAUCAAUUGGACUUUAAGUAGCCGGGCUAUGUGGCUAUAUUUCUUAUCGAAACUUGCUCAAGUGGUGGCCCUCCAUCUAUCCCAUAUGUCAAGCAAAUCGGUGAAGUCAUUCUGUUUAAAAUCAAUGUGGACCCUAUCAGGUAGUGAUGAGAAGUGAUCUUUUGACAAGCAAUCUCCCUCACUUUGUUGGGCAUUCGCCAUGUGCUGAGUCACUUCGUAUAUUCCAUCGUAACUUGAGGAUGGCCAUGUUGACUCCAUGUAUGCAAUUGGAUCUACUCUGUCAAUGGUUGUCAGGUGACAAAUACUUUUCCUAUAUGCAAAAUUAUGAUGCAAAUAUGCAUAUGACAAAAAGCUUAAGUUAGUACCGUAAACAAGAAUUCCAAAAGAUGAAUAAUUAAUAACAUGAUACCUUUAUUACUUCGUGGAGAAGAAUUUAGGAUAAGGGGAUUAUGAAAAUUCUUUCAUGUGUACCUAGUCAAAAGGUAUAUUAUCACGGGUGAAGCUCUACCUAAGUAAAGGCAACUCUCGGUAUUUUACAUGCUGAGUUUGGGUUGAAAAUGGAGCUAAAGGUUCUCAAAUCGCUCCUUACUGUCGUCCACACGGACUAGUAAGGUAUCCCGGUUCUCACCCAUUACAAGCUUCAAACGGAUUAGGUUCGAUCUUAGUGGGAGUCUUCACUAGCCCAUGCGAAGGUUAUCACCUCACAAAAGCAUAGCUACUUAACUCCCUUCUAAUUAAAGACAAAGCUCGGGUGGAAGGCUUAUGCAUGAAUGCAAGAUGUGUAGUGUGUGAGAAAGAAUAUACUGACCUUGGACCAAUAAUUUCACACUCCCCUUAUCCUAAAUUUCCCGCAAUUAUUAAAAACAAUGAAGUAAUAAUAGCAAAAUAAAUGAAUGCAUUAAACAAAAAUAUGCAAAAUUGAUGCUAGGGAAGACAACAAAUUAUUUAAGGCUUAAGAUAACUUAUGAUUAAUUAAUAGUUUGACUCUCGAUGUCCCUAAUGGAGUCGCCAUCUGUCGUAACGUGUGGGUUCGGGAACCCAACCGCUAGACGUCGACGAAAAUAAAGUGGUUUAGGAGUCGCCACCAAUCGUCUUGUAUCUAGGUGCGAUUGGACACCUAUUAACCCGAUUCUAAUCAACAAAGUCCUAAAUUAAGUUUAGAACGAGAACUGGUCCACAUUUUCCAGAGAAAGGUUCGAGAGUGCGGUUACGCACGGAGAAGGGUUAGCACCUCUGUGACGCUCGUUCCACGAACGGUACCAUUUAAUCUUAAGUUAUCCUAUUGUACCUUAAUCCUUGCUUAUUAGUUAAUUUUUUUAUUAUGUUAGUUGAUUGAGUCUUUUAUUUGGUUUCACGGAUGCACAUGAUGCAAUCGUAAAAUGAUGUUAUGAUUUAUUCAAUUUUAAAUGAUGGGGUCGACAAUCUUUUAUUGAAAAAAUCAUUCAAAGACCAUCCCAACGCUUUGGUGAAGUUUCGAAAUUUUCCUCACCUAGAGAUAUCCCUGGAAGAACUCGUCUCUACAAGCUCAUCAAGGAAAUCCCAUCAUCGGAACUCCCGCACCAUUUGCAAGAUAAAUGUGGCAUGCUAUGACAGGAUAAAAUGAUGAUGUCUACAUGCACGCGUUUAUUGACUUAGGUGGUUCAUAAUUCAUCCAAUUAUGUGUUUAAUAAUUUAUCACCUUGUUUAUAUGUUUAUUACUAUUUGUUAUUUUUUUAUGGAUUAUUUAUUUAUUUAUAUAUAUAUAUAUUGUUUUCUAUUUAAAUCCAUAUCCUUUAAUUAACGUUAUUGAUUAAUAUUUUACUUGAUUAUAUAGCUUAUAAAUAAUUAAUUAAUUUUUAAACGAUUAAAUUACCUUUAUUUAGUAAUAUUUAUUUAAGCUAAUUAACUAAUUAUAUUAAUUUAAAUUCACAUGCAACAUUAUAUAAAUUUUCUUUUAUAUAUAUUAUUUUGACAACAAUUAUUUGAUUUAACGGGUAUUGAAGUUUAGAGUUCGGAUUUAUCCCGACGCUUCGGUGAAAAUCAAUCUCAAACUUCACUCCCAAAAAAAUCUACUUAAAAGAGGCAACUAUUUGCCCUUUUUAGGUAGUAGUAUUCAAAUAACAUUUCCAUUAUAUUAAUUUUUUUUUUUUAUGUUUGUAUCAUGAGUUAUUUAUUUUUUUUUUUUUGAUUAAAAUAAACAUUCAUAUUAUAUAUAUAAUUAUAUAUAAAUAACCUUUCCUAAUAUGGUUUAAAUUAUAACAAAAAAAAUGUAUUUUAUUUAACAAAAUGGGUUAGACCCAAAAGCAAUUGAAACAAGCCCAUAUCAAAGAGAAGGAUUAUACCUUUUUAGGGUCAGUUUAGUCCAGCUCAAUGGCCCACAGAAGCCGAAAUCUGCUACACUCGAUCUGCUUCCUGAGGCCCACAAGGCAGAAUUCGAAACGCGUCGUUUGGUACCUGAGACACUACUCAAUAUGGCGUCGUUUAGCCUUGAACCUUUCAGUUCCCCGCUCCCUGAAAUGGUGCUAUUUGGUUCUCUUACACCUGGGUAUAAAAACCCCUUUUUUGGCCUUUUCUAUUAUUUUCACCAUCCCCUUUCUCUCUCUAGCCCAAAUGCUCUCCCUUCUCUGUAGCUUCAAGCCACGGCCCCCCCUUUGACCGCUGGCCUUCACUCUCCCUUAUGUCGGUGGCUUGCCUUUAACCGGUGGCCUAGGUGUUCUUCCCCUCUCUACCGGCGUUGAUCUAGCCUUACUCCGCCGUCGGUGCCGUUCGGAUCUUUUCUUUUCGCAGGUCGGUGGCAGUAAGAUCAAACCAAAAGUCUUCUCUCUCUCUCCUUCGUUACCUUGCCGUCGGCCAGAUCUCACUAUCCCCUAAAAUACCCAAAUCAAAAAUGCAACCCAAAUCACCCUCCGCCUUUCCUCUUUUUUUUUUUAUAUCUUAUGUAUUUUUUGUUUUUUUGUUAUUGAUUGUGGUUAGGUAGUUGGCUGCUAGAUCUUAGGAUUUCGGAUUUGAUUUGGGGUUUUUUUUUUGUUGUUGUUGCUAUUUGAAAAAUAAAAAAUUUCUAGUUGGAUAUAGACUUUUUUUUUUUGAAACGUUUUCUCUCUGAUUUUUUUUUGGUUUGAAACUCUUUUUUUUUUUUAAUCUCGGUUUUCUUGCCCCUCAAAAUCCUCCCCCUGAUCGGUUUGAAACCCCCCUUUUUAAGAAUGGAUUGUCCAAAAAUUUGGACAAUCUAGAGGUGAAAACAUGCUCUUCUGAGCAUCAUUUCACAAGGCUCUGACAAACAGGAAGGGUUGGUAGCUGGAGAUGACCACUCCUCCCCAAAUCCGGCUACCUUUCAGGGGCAUUAAUGCCCUGUAAUGAUAAACUAGAGGAGGGGUUGAGCACACGCUCAGUCCCUUUCUGUUCAUUCAUCAUCAUUUUUUUAUUUUUUUAUUAUUUUUAUCUAUAUUUAUUAAUUUUUUUAAAUUUUUGAGCUUUUUUUCUUUUUUCUUUUUAUUCUUUGGAAGUAGGUGUCUACAAUUACAAUCUCCUACUAAGAUAUAUAUCUAAAUUACAUUAUCUUUUUAAUAAAUCUUACAUUAUUAUUUAAAAAAUAUUCACAUAUAGAUGAAUCUUAAAAUAUCUAAAAUGUGGAUAAUAUAUCUAUCAUUUAUCAAAUUUACUUUAAUUUGAAUUGAUUUAAUGUAGUGUGAUAUGUCUACAUUUCACACCAAUUUGAUAUUUUAUUUUACUUGGAAAUAUGGAUAUUUUUGUUUAAAAUAGUCAAUUAUACUUUUGUUUGAAGUAUAGAAGAGGAGAAUUUUUUUUUUUACGUAGAGUAUUAGCUAGAGUAGAAGAAUUUGCUAGCCUAGAAUCCUAGAUACGCUCGGGCUAGGAACGAUGUACAGAAAAUCCAUAAUUCUAGUAUUUUACUCAAUUAUGAGCUUAAUAUUUAAAAUUAAUGGAGUUUUUAUUUUAAAAAAAGUAUAAGAAAAAGAACAAUAAUGUCAAUUAAAAAAUUUAAUUUAUCAAAUAAAUGAAUAUUAGAAAAACAGAAAAAAAACCAAAAUAUUUCAUAAAUGAUUGCAGAAGAAAACAAAAAUAUUUAAUAAUUUAUUUUGCAAUAUCAUUUCAAAUAAUUUAGCAUUGUUCUUUCCUUACAUCCACACUUGUGUCAAUGAUUCAUCCUUUGUAAUGCUUUAAAAUUAAAUAGUUCUAAUCAAAAACAGUCUCUUACCUACGGCUCCCAUCUGUAUUAGAAAUGUUCUAGAUGCUCAGAGCACAUUCCUUUGCAUUAGGAAAAGAAGUAGUGAUUAUUAUAAUUUGCCUUUUUAGUUGCAUCGGAAAUGUCGUAUAUGCGAAGAGAUAAGAUGAAUAUCCUCUCAGCAAUGUUAUUAUCUGUAGGCUGAAUCGAAAGCAUGACAAUAUAAGAUACACUAUCAUAUUUGUCAGCCUUAAUUUGUAUCUAACCACAUACUGACUUGCUGCUGAUAAUAAAUGGUUUAUCAAAAGCACCAAAUUUGAAGCCUAAACUGAAACGCACCUUACACUAGACAACUUUAUCAAAUAAAAGAUUCUCAAUUAAACAGUAAAAGUUAAUUAUGGAGAGUCGAUUAAUUAAUCAUCACAUAUUAUUUGUCUGAAAUUUUUGGUUACUUACAUUUUAAUUUGCCUUUUUACAUUUAUUAUUUUGCAUGCUUAUUGCAGCGGGCACUGGGCAGGCUAAUUAACCAAGAAAAAGAAUGAAGGGAGGCACCAUAUUGUCUAUCGCAAUGUAUAUAGUAUUUCUUUUGGGGACUAAUUAAAUUACUCACUAACUUACCAAUUUUAUGAAAAAGGCUUGUGGGGAUCAGAGGCCUGCCGCCAGCCACCAUCGUCCCUCGCUUGGCCCCUCCUAUCCUAUGUUUAACCCUUUUGAUAGACAUGGAAGGUCUUCAUGGAGGGAGUAGAAUUUACAGUUACACCAAAAAAAUAGUAUCAAGUAUUUUCUAUGUGAGCUGGAAAUAAAGGAGAAUGUGCACUGGGAGAAGGUUCGCUAAAGAUUUGAUAAUUGCUUCAUAUAGCAUGAGAUUGUGAUCAAAGAUGGGAUAUAGUCUUAGCUCUUGAUGAGGUGAUAUAGUCUAAAAAGGAAUAUAUCUUUUAGGUGGUUUAACCCAAUGUAGAUUUAUAAAUUAAAUAAGGCUAAUAAAAAUCUACAGACAAAAUAUUAAUAUUAAUUAAGUUCUUAAUUAAUUUUUUUAUAAUUUUUUAAAGAAUCUUACUAAAUGUACUUUUGUUUUGAAAAAUUUAAAAUAAGUAUAAUUAUAGAAUAACAGUCAAAACAGAAAACAAUUAGUGAUCAAGACCACAUCACACCAAUGUGACGUAUAUGAAAAAAAAAUUAUAUUUAUUUUAUCAUAAAAUCAAGCCAUAAAACAUACAAACAAUAGAAUCAUCAUGCAUAUCUAAUAAAUAAUUUUUUAAAAAAAGAUUAAAAAUAAUAUGAAAAAUAAGCAAGAAAGAUAUUAUUAAUAAUAAAAGAAAAGAGUAUUCUAUACUUCAAUGAAGUCUUCUCAGCCUAAAGAUAACAAUAGGUUAGGCCAUUCAAUCUGGUGUUCAUCAAUAAUCUACGUCCCACAAGCUCUACCAAACAAAAUUUGAUUUUAUAAAAGAAUUUCUGAUUGCCGAGUUGCUCCUCGGAUGUAAGCUUCUACACAUAUCACAUCUUUAAACACGGGCGGGGAGUAUCGCAUCACUAUGGGCCGUGGUUCUCCAAAAAUUUUAAAUUUUUUAUAUAUUAUAUAUCUUUUAAUGAGUUUUUAAUAUAAUUUAUAUUAAAUAAUUAAUAUAAAUAAAAAAUAAUAAAAUAAUUUCACAAACUCAUUUACCUUUACUCUGAUUUUUAAACUUUUCCCCCAACUCUUUUAAAUUUCUCCACAGCUUUUUUCCUCUCUUUAUUCUUCUCUUUCUCUUCUCUUUCGUUAUUUCAUUGUGAAAUUACAAAAAUAUAAAGUUUUUUUUAUCUUUUUUUAAUUUAUAUUAUUAUUCUUAUUUAUAUUUGUUUAUUUUUUUCAAGUUUAUUAUAUUUGGUCAUAUGUUCUAAGUUUUUAUAAAUUUUUUUCUUUAAAUGUCUACAAAUCAUAAAUCAUAUUUUUCUUUUUUUUUUGUUAUGUAGAUUUUAUAUUCAAUGAUUUGUCUUUAAAAAAUUAAAAAAAUAUUAUAUAAUUUUCAAAUAUAAGUUGUAGCAUUGCAUUAUUGGUUGUUAUUUAAAAUUUCAUCAUAAAAUAAUUUUUUUAUUAAUCUUAAUUAUAUAAGAGAUUUUUUAUAUGUUUUACGUUUUAUAUUUAAUUGAAAAAAAUUAUCUUUGAGUAUUUAUUUUUAAACAAACUUGAUUAUAUAAAAAAAAUUAUUAAUAUUUUAUAUCAUAUUUAAUUAUUUAUAUUUUAUGUGUUAUUCAUCUUCUUUUAUGAUUUCUCAACAAAAAUUAGUUAACUCCAUAUUUUCUUUAGAGAUGUUUAUGAUACGAAUAUUGCUUAUAUAAAAGUGUCUUUUCACUUGAAAAAAUUAGCUGGCAUGUUAUGUUUCAAUUAAUUGAUAAUAAAAAGUAAUAAAAAUUAUUAAUUUAUUAUAUUAUUAAAAGAAUUUGGAUUUACCGCUUUUAAUUAAUAAUUUUAGAGUUGACAUUUGACUAUCAGUGGAUUGAAGUUUUCUGAUCCGAAAGGCAGAUGAGGAACAACAAACUCAUGUGCUUGGUAUCCUACUCCUAUGGUCAUAGCCCAUAGGCUAAUUGAUUCAUUUCUAGGCUUAAUGGGCUCUGUGAUAUGGGUGGGCAGUCUGCUGCAUAAAGCAUGUUACUACAGUCAAGCUUACUACAAAUCAACCAGUUUAAACCGGGCUAAAGGCAACAAUCUCUGUGAGCUGGUUUUAAAAUGUCAAAUAAUUAAUCGUACAGUAUCCCUAAAUCCAAUUAAUUUGCAACUUGAAUGGACUUGGAAUUUAGAUUAAUUUAAACUUAGAACUAUUUAGACGAUCUACGAUAACCUAAGCAAAAUCCACUUAAAAUCUGAAUUAACCUCAUGAACUUCAAAUCUCUAGCAAAAUCAAUCUUAAAAAAUCCGAACAAUUUGCUCAAAUCACACUUAAACUUCAAACAAUUUCUUUUCUGAUCACUUUCAGAACAUUAUGCUUUCCAAUCAUAUGCGUUUCACAUAAUAGCAAACACUUGAUUGCCAACAAAGAAAAUGAGAAGUGGUUAGGAGACUUAAGGGUUAAUGGCUCACAAAAUAUUGUUCAAUGGAAGAUUUGGUCAAUAGAUAGCAUACAUAAUUUAUAUAAAAUUUUUAAUAGAUACAAGCCUUAAUUAAUAGGUUUAUAUUUAAUACAUUGACAAUGUAUAAUUUCUAUACACAAGGCAUAAGAUCAUACCAUCUCAUUAAAAAAUAAAUUCAAAAUUUUAAACAAUUUAAAAAUGAAUAUUAUUAAAUUUUUUUAAAAAAUAAAAAAAGAUAAAUAAUUUUUUUUAUCUCUCUAACUCUCUCUUAUUCAAUCUCUUCCUCUUCUUCCCUCAACAACAAUAGAUUCAAAAUCGUAAUUUUUUUUUGAAAAGUAAAAUUCUAAAUUCUUAAUUUUGAUUCUUCAAAGUAAUAUUUAUUAUGUCUUAUUCUUAAUUUAAUUCUUAAUAUUUAUUUCACUUUUUUAUUUGAAAUUACUUUAAAAAAAUGAUAACAUAAUAAGGUAAAAUCUUUGAUUUGUUCAGCAAUGGCUGAUUUGCCUUGGAGUAAGUAGAAUGAAAUGAAUAAAGCAAUUGGAAAAGGUGGAAAGCAAAACAUCAACUCUAAAGGAAUAUAAAUACAGCAGGUCUCAAUCUGCAUAGCAACGUGCAAUCACAAAAAAUCUAUAGAAGCCAGGCUUUCCUCAAUACCUAGCAAGUCCAUAUAUUCUUGGUUCGUUGGAAAUUAAACGGGACGAAACAAAAAUCUACCAAGUACAACCUCUUUUAGAUCUAUGAACAGAUAAAUCCAAAAAACAACCCUAAACAAAAAUUUGUAAACAAAAAUCUUUUUUUUUUCUUUGCCGCAUGAGUCCCACAACAUUAUCACGUUGAAACUACAAAAUGAUAUCUUUACAGCGUGAGUUUCAAAGGUGUUCGAGAAAAGUCUUUUUGUUCAUCAAAUUAUAGUGAUAAAUAAAUGUUCACAAUAUAUAAAAAAUGGUAGACUAAGAAGAUGAUUGAAAUAAAUAUUAUCUUUAAAAAUUAAAAUUAAGAUUUUAGAGUUUUGAAAUUAUAACAGGAGAAGAAGAACAAGAGAAGAAGAGAUUGAGUGAAAUGGAGUUGAAUAAAAAAAUUAUUUUUAAUUUUUAAAAAAUAAUAAUAUUUAUUUUUAAACCUCUUAAAAUUUUAAAUUUAUUUUUUAGUGAAAUGGCACCAUUUGAUGUUUUAAUAAUGUAUAAAAGUUAUGUACUAUCAAUGCAUUAAAAAUAAAUUUUGAUAUAAUUCUUGUUCAUUGUCAGCAGAAAAAGUUGUCAUGAAAGUCGAGUUUUAUAAUUUUUUUUUCAAAUUUAUAUUAAGAAUUAGCUUCAGGUCAAAAAGGCUCUAUUAAGUCUUCACCUAAUCCUUCAAAAGAAAAAAACAAAAUAAAGUCAUUCCCAAAGGUUCACGUCUCUUUUCACCUCCCCUGCAAGCAAUCUCUUUGCAGUACAAAUAAAGGAUAGGCUUGAUUAAGUCGUCACCUAAUCCUUCAAAAGAAAAAUAUAAAAGGUCAACCCCAAAGGUUCACGUCUCUUUUCACCUCCUAUGCAAGCAAUCUCUUUGCAGUAUAAAUAAAGGAACUCAAUAAACUCAUAUGCACAAAAUUAGCUUUAGAAAAAUGAAGUCUCCCCACCUUUUAGUAUAUCUAUUUCUUUUCGCUGCUCUCUUCUCAUUGUCAUGGGCAACUUCGGCUCAUACUCAUGAGCGUUUUCUUCAUUGUCUUUCCCUUCGUUCCGAGAACUCCUCUUUCAUUUCUAAAAUCAUCUAUACACAACAUAAUUCUUCCUAUUCCUCUAUUUUGGAGUUUUCUAUGCAUAAUCUCAGGUUCUCCACGCCAUCUACCGCCAAACCUCAAGUCAUUAUAACACCAUUUCAUACAUCCCAUAUUCAAGCAACAAUUUACUGUUCAAAAAAACAUGAACUCCAAAUUAGAACUCGAAGUGGUGGUCAUGAUUUUGAAGGCCUUUCUUAUGUCUCUGAAGUUCCAUUUGUCAUAAUUGAUCUGAUUAAUUUUCGAUCAGUUGACAUUGAUGUGGAAAACAAAAUUGCAUGGGUUCAAUCUGGUGCAGUUCUUGGUGAGCUAUAUUACAGAAUUGCUGAAAAAAGUAAAACUCUUGCCUUCCCAGCUGGUAUUUGUCACACUGUAGGUGUUGGUGGAUAUUUUAGUGGAGGAGGUUAUGGCUUAUUAUUUCGAAAAUACGGUCUUGCCGUUGAUAACAUAAUUGAUGCUCAAUUCAUUGACGUUAAUGGACGAAUUCUUGACAGAAAAGCCAUGGGAGAAGAUUUGUUUUGGGCCAUUCGAGGAGGUGGAGGGGGUAGCUUUGGCAUUGUUAUCGCAUGGAAAUUAAAGCUGGUUCCGGUUCCAGCAACUGUGACUGUUUUCACCAUUAGCAGAACAUCAGAACAAAAUGCGAUCAAACUUGUCCACCGUUGGCAAUAUGUUGCACACAAGCUUCCCGACGGAACAUUCUCCUUGGUUGGCUUAAGUAGUGUGAAUUCUAGUCAAGAUGGGAAAAAGACGAUUUUAGCUUCCUUUAGGUUAUUCUUUCUCGGUGGCGUUGAUGAGCUUGUUCCAUUGAUGCAAGAGAGAUUUCCAGAGCUUGGACUAGUAAAGGAAGAUUGCACUGAAAUGAGUUGGCUUGAAUCUAUUCUCUACUUCGGUCAAAUUCAAAAUAAAUCCUUGGAUAUUUUGCUUGAUAGGACUUUCCAAAGUCCUCUCAUUAGUCCAGCCUUCAAAGCAAAAUCUGACUAUGUAAAGGAACCUGUUCCUGAAAUUGCGUUAGAAGGGCUAUGGUCAAAGCUUUUUGAGGAAGAAGCAAAAUCUGCCGGUAUAGUUUUUGUGGCUUAUGGGGGGAUAAUGGAUGAGAUUCCAGAGACUGCAACUCCAUUUCCGCAUAGAGCUGGCAACUUAUACAAAAUCUUAUAUACCGUAGGUUGGCAAAAAGAAGACAACAAAAAUUCCCAGAAGUACAUAAGUUGGAUUAGGAGAGUUUACAGCUAUACGAGCUCCUUUGUUUCACAAUCACCACGAGAGGCAUACAUCAAUUAUAGAGAUCUUGACAUUGGAAUUAACAGUAAAGGCAACACCAGUUAUGCACAAGCAAGUAUUUGGGGUUAUAAAUAUUUUAGGAAUAACUUUGAUAAGUUAUUGCGGGUGAAGACAAUGAUUGAUCCAGAAAAUUUCUUUAGACACGAACAAAGUAUCCCUCCGCUUUUGUCCGUGCGGAAGAAGACAGGAAAUUAGAGUAUAUAUAACCUUGGUGGACACUGUUACUCAUAAAGCACACAAUAAAUGAUUUUUAUGGAAAUCAUAGUGCUAGACAAAAUGUUUGAUUAGUUCUUUGUUACCGUUUCUGGCUGGCAUAAUGCAUGAGUGGUAUGCAUAGCCUAAUAAAUAACAUACCAUUAAUUACCUUUGGUUGAAACAAGGUAAUGUGUGUUGACAAUAAUAAAUUUUAGCCUUCUUUCUCCAGAUUUCAUUGUUGGAUACAAUAAUUUUUAGCUUCUAACCCUUGUCUGUUCUAAAAGAUUCAGAAUAGUGUAAUGCAGCACAUUUUUUCUAAUUUGUUGUGCCAAAAAAUUCUCUGGCUUUUUCAAAGACUUCACGGAAAAGUUAUCUAAUGUUGAAUCAAUAUCUUCCAAAGAACAGAAAGGGACAUGUCUCCUCUUGUGUUCAUAUAGGCUAUUCAAUGUUCCUACACAUCAAAGACCUUUGUUAUAGGAAUUUAGAAUAUCCUCUUACUCACUAUUCGUUUGUGCUAGAGUUCAAAAUUUCAGACACAAAGCUAUUUAGUCAUUGAAAUUAACAUCAAGUUUACGAAAUUAAUUAAUAUAUUUAGUUAAUAUAAAAUAAAAGUUUAUACAUACAUUUUUGAAGCUUUUUAAUGUAGCAAUAGUUUUUAUGUCAAAUACCCACAUCAACAGUGCCUUGUCAAUAUGUCAUGUACCCAUGUUAUUAUGUCAGCAAAAAUGUGCCACCUCAACGCUAACAUCACCUGAUUUAAAGGUUAAAUUAAAUGCCGUUAAAGAAGGUAUUAAAUUAGAGUAAUUUUUAAAAUCGAUGAAUUAAAUUACUUUAAAUUAAAGUACAAAUACUAAAUUGAAAAAAAUAUAUGAAUACAAAAACCUUUUGGAUAUUUUGACCAUUAAUUAAUCAUCACAUAUUAUUUGUCUGAAAUUGUUAGUUACUUACAUUUUAAUUUGACUUUUUGCAUUUAUUAUUUUGAAUACUUAUUGCAGUGGGCAGGCUAAUUAACCAAGAAAAAAAAUGGAGGCACCAUAUUGCCUUUUCGCAGUGUAUUUAAUAUUUGUUUUGGGGAGUAAUUAAAGUACUCACUAACAUACUAAUUUUAUGAAAAAAGUUUGUGGGGAUCAGGGGCCCUUACGGCAGCCGCCAUCCUCUUUGGCCUCGCCCCUCCUAUCCUACGUUUAACCCUUUUGAUAGACAUGGAAGGUCUUCAUGGAGACUGGAGGGAGUAGUAUUUACAGUUACACCAAAAAAAUAGUACCAAGUAUUUUCUAUGUGAGCUGGAAAUAAAAGAGAAUGUGCGCUGGAAGAAGGUUCGCUAAAGAUUUGAUAAUUGAUUCGUAUAACAUGAGAUUGUGAUCAAAGAUGGGAUAUAAUGUUAGUAUUAUAUACUUGAAAGGAAGUGUCAUCAUUUUGUCACGCCUCAACUUAAAUAGUGGCCACGUUUGAAGUGGCCUUUUGCAGGUUUUGCUUCUCCAUGUUUUGACAGGUGGAGUCUUGAGAAAGGAGUUGGGGAUUAAGUUGGGGGCUCACAUGUGAUGGGUUGCGAUUAGAGGAGUUUUAUAGUUGAGGUGUAGAGGUUAGAAAAGAGUAGGGAUAAAGUGGAAAGAAAAAGAAAGAUAAGAUAAAAAAUUUUGAAAAAAAAAUUGGGUGAAAAAUUCAGAUUUGAUGAAAAAGGGAAUGGGUAAAAAAAAAAGAGAUGGAGAUCUAUAUGAGAGAAAGGUAAGUCUGGGUUGAGAGGAAGAUGUGGGAGGAAAAAAUAGAAAAAAAAAAGGAAAAAUUGAGAAAAACGAAUGGGUGGUUUUUUAAUUGAGAUUUGAUUUUUUGUAGUUUUUCUUUCUUUUUUAUUUUUUGUUAUUAUUUUUUUAAUAUUUAAUUUUUUAUUGAUUGCAUUUAUAAUUUUAUCUUUUUUUAUAACUUUUUUUCUUACGAUGCAGGAAAUAACAAAAAAAAAUCCUAAUAAUGCAUUAUAUAGAUCUGUUAGUAAUAGUAUUACUUAUACAUGAUAGCAUUGUGAAAGAUCAAAUAAGUUCAAAUUUGAUGAACAAGUUCAUUUUAAAUAAGUUUAAUACGUCAUCACAAUAUCUUUUAAUUUUUAAAAAUUUAUCUUUACACAUUACAAUGUAAUUUGUAAAUGAUAUUUUGAUUAUCUUUUGUUUUUAACGAUUAUCCUUAUUAAUGUAAAUUAAUUUCAUAUCUUAUUUAUAUAUAAAAAAAUUGUACCCAACGUGUAGCAUGGGCUACACUCUAGUAGUCUAAAAAGGAAUAUAUCUUUUUGGUGGUUUAACCCAAUGUAAAUUUAUAAAUUAAAUAAAGCUGAUAAAAAUCUACACUUAUUUUUAAAGACAAAAUAUUAGUAUUAAUUAAGUUUUUAAUUAAUUUUCUUUGAUUAUUGGUUCUUUUCUUUUAGAAAUCCUGCUAAAUAUACAUUUUUUUCAAAAAAAUUUAAAGUAAGUAGAAUCAAAGAAUAAUAGUCAAAACAAAAAACAACUAGUAAUCGAGACAACAUCACAUCCACUUGAUGUGUAUGAAAAUUAUAUUGUCAUAAAAUCAAGCCAUAAAACAUACAAGCAAUAGAAUCAUCACCCAUAAAAAGUUUAGCACCAAACUGGUGGAAGACUUCUCUUGGCAUAGAAAGUUAGUUUUGGAGAGGGCAUUGCCCUUGACAACAAGCAAAAGAAUGUUGGGAAAAAAGCCUUUGGCAGCAAUGACGAAAGAAAAUAUCCCCUGAUAAAAAUACGGGCUACAAAAGAUCCUAAAAAAAUUACCAAAAACCUAAUUUUAACAACUAAAACACAUAAGUAAUUUUAAAAGUAAAAACCCCAAAGUCACAACAUGUAGUUAGUCCCAAGCAGUCCAACCUUAACCUCAUUAACUACUAAGGAUCACAAGAAGCUUCAUAACCCUUCUCGAACCUUCAACGUUCCACUGUAUUAAAAAUAAUAGAGCCUUACCAAUUCCUACAAACUAGCUCAACAACAAACCAAAGCCACGAUCAGGGUUUAAUUGAAAAAAUUACAAAGUUGACAACAAGGAGAAAAAACCCCAUUGACCUCGAUAACUAAUCACAGAUAUGAAUGGAAAAGAAAUCCCCCAUCAACUUAUCAUGAUUGUAGCACUCAAGGUUCAUCAAUUAAACACCAAGGUGCCAUCGUAGCCUUGUCACCCACACCACACCUCAAAACUAGUGAAAACCCUUUCUUUACCCACCCACAAAGUCCUUCAAGCAAGAGAUCAAGAACGAAAACAAUCCCACACCACAUGAAAAUUUUACAAGCAAAGUCCCUUUCCUUGAAAACCCCCACCACAAUGACCCACAAACAUCCCAAGUCUCAAAACCUUUUUCACUUGAAACUAUCUCCACCCUCAAAAAAAGAGACAAGAAAAAAAAAAACAUCAACCUUAUGCAAAUAUGUCCUAACCACCCACCUCCCCUUUCCCUUAUUAAUUUAUGAACCCAAAACAAAAGCAUGAAAAUUCCAUACACAAAUCAAUGAAACCGGAAGAUCCAUCACAUAGGAAAAAAAGCACACCUAUAUAUUGAUGCCUCCGAAGAAAGCAAACUUUCUAAUGGAGUAAUGUUUUUUCUUUUUUCUUUUCUUUCCUUUUUUUCCUUUCUCUCUCUUUUUUUAAUAAAAUUAUUCCAUUAUCCUUAUUUUCUAAUCCAACACAAAUACUCAAAGGGCCUUUAUAUGAAACUCGCUUUAUUAAAAUCCUCCACCUAUCUCUAAGUACAUCUUAACCCUAUGAACAAGUAAUGAAUCAAGCUCAAAACCCUUGGUGGCUCCGUACCAAACUCAACAAGAUCAGAGAGAAACAAAAUACAUUAUGGCUAAAAGACUAAGAAAGAAAGAGCUUCCCCUAUUCCCUCUCCUCCCCUCUCCCAUAAAGAAAGAGCUUCCCCUAUUCCCUCUCCUCCCCUCUCCCAUAGUCAAGAGAACACAACAAACAAAAGGUCCUUACCCUAGCAGCAAAAAGACCUUUAUUUUAUGCUCAAUCCCUCUACAUUUCAAAGCAAUCCUUUCUAAGACAACCCACAAAAUCAUGUAGUCUUAUAAACAAUAAAAGCAUAAAUCAUUAAUUUAAAAGAUGAAAAACCAACCCUCUUUAAAAAAAAUCAAAUAAGAAUAAAGGUGAAGGAGAAGCAAAAAUGCACAAUUCUAUCACACAAGGCAAAAAACCUAUCCUCCCUAAGAAAAUAAGUGAAAGAGAAAAGUACUACUCCUAUGCCUCAUGCGUUUCAAAAUUUCUUCAGUCAGGUAAAAUUUUUCUAAUCUUUUUUCUUUUUUUUCAUUUUUCCUCUUUUUUUUCUCUUUUUCUCUUUUUAGUUUUCCUACUUUCCUUCAUGCCUUCAACUCUCUCUGCAUCUAAGAUGAAAAAUUAUUAAAAAAGAAAGAAAAGGCAUGCCAUUUUUAAGACCUACACAACACUAAUGGUAGGAAAAAGUUAGAACAUCAUUCAUGAAAAACAUCACUACUAAGUUACUAAAAAGGAAAACUCUCCCUUUUUGUCACCAUUCACUCGGUACCACCCUCAAAUUAGUCCAACACUAGUACCAAAUCUCCCUCACUUUGAAGGCUUGACUUUGUCAAGUCAUUUUUCAUCUCAUUUGCUCCUCUAGCGAUUUUUCUAACCUGCCACUCAUCUAAGCUUAUCUGUAAGCCCACUAGACCUAGCUAGUGCUUUACUCGAAUCUAGUACACAUCCAACAUUUAUCAAGUCACUCUUAAUUAUCAAUGAUUGGUUCUCCACCCACUUCGAGACACCAAACAAUUUAAAGCAUCCUUAAUUGCUAGUACUUUAGCCGUGUUGACCAUUAUGACCCCUAAUAGUUUUGAAAACAUUAAUUUUACUGCUCUUUUCUCAUCUUUCAACACUCCACCAAUGGCUAUUAGGCUUGGGCUCUCCCUCACAGCCCCAUCAACAUUAAACUUAAGCCAACCUUUAGAGGGUGACUCCCAAUUUGUAACCAUUCUUUUUUUGUUUCAAGGGCUUUGUGGUUUGUUUAUUUUUGGGCAUUUCAUAGUCUCCGUCACUUUUCCUAAGUUUCUCGACCAUCGUGCCUUCGCCCAUCAUGCAACUCUUAUCCUAGCAAUAUCUAAACAUUGCUCACUAUCCCACACAUUGCCUUAAAAAACCACCUCAUUCCUUAUUAAACAAAUGCAUUAGGUAAUGAUGAAGAACGUCAAUCGCCACAAUCUUCUAUCUCCUUUGUGUAAUAAUUCAUUCCAAUCAAGGAAAAAUUGAACUACCUUGUCUUGCGCCACUCAACUAAUACCCCAUUGCCUAAUCCACCUCAUCCAAAUCUUCCAACUCUUGUACAUCAAAAAAAUUGAUUAUCACCUAUUCCUUACUAUCCCUACACAAAACGCACACUAUUGAGCUAGUCUAGAGUAACCCCCUCUUAGCCAACUUUGCCUUAACUACAAUUUUACCCCUAAAAAUCCUCCAACAAAAUAUCUCAACCUUCAUCGAAGCUAUUCCUUACCACAACUUUUUUUAAUGAUCCCUUACACUCUUAUUCCUUGCUACCAUCGAUAUGCAAUAAGAGCUCAUUAAAUACACUACACCAAAUCUGUAUUUCUAGAUAACUGUAUCCUCAUAUUCCUCCACCAUUGGGUUCUCACUUAUAGCCUUUAUGAAACUAUCCCACUAUUCCACUUCCCAUUCAAACAAGUUGCGUCUUAGCUUCACUUGCCAUUUCCAUUCCCCUUCCACCCAUUGAUAAUACUCUUUAACUUUACUUGUCUUGUUAUCUACUAAUGCAUAUAUCCUAGGAAAAGCUUGCCUCAGAGUUAGUCUUUUUGACUAUUCAUCAUUCCAAAAAUCAAGCCAUUCCUCUUUCCCUAAAAUGAAACCAAGGUUUCCCUAUAAGAUUGAGCUACUUUCUCAACCCUCUCUAAUAGGUUUGACUAUGUUCUUCCAAAUGAAAAAUUGCUUAUUCAACCUUCAUGACCGUGGAAGCAAAGCUCGUGGGUUACUAUCAAUUUUAUCAACAAUAACCUUUCUCUAUAGAAUGUCCCUUUCAUUCUGCGUAUCUCCAUAUCCACUUAUUGAGCAAAGUUGAAUUUCUUGUUUGUAAGUCAACCUAACCUAACACUCUAAACUCGUUAUACAUAUAAAUAGACCCUUAAUCCACAUAAUGGAUUUUUCUCUCAUCCGUCGUCCCAUUCCACAUAAAUUUUUACUGAUUCUGUUUUAACUCCUGGCUUACCGUUAUCGACAUCCUAAAUAAUGACAUAUAAAAAGUAGGCAAACUCAUUAUAAUUGAUCUAAUAAGGGUAACUCUACCUCUUAAUGACAGCAUUAUACUUUUCCACCAUUUUAACCUACUCUCAAACCUUUUCACUACUGGUCUCCACAUCUCUUUGAACUAGUUUUAACUCUUAAUGGCAAACCUAGGUACCUAGAAGGGAACUUUUCCAUCUUAUAAUCGAUCUUGCCUACCCACUCUGCAAUAUCUCCUCUUUCGGGCGUAUCUUAAAAGGGCUACUCUUUUGAAAAUUAAUCCUAAGACCUAAAAUCAAUUAGAAACACCUCAGUAUCCUUCUCACGUUCUUAAUUGAUUCCCACUCUAGCUUACAUAUUUUUGUUCUAUCAUCAGCGAAUUGCAAAAGUGACAUAAUUAGCCCUCUAUUGGUUAUGUCAAUUCCUCUGUAUACUCCUAACUUAACUGCCUCACUCAUUAAGACACUGAAAGUUUUUGUGGCACAAUUGAAUAGGAAAAGAGAUAAUGGACAGCCUUGUCGUAAUCCCUUCCUUAUCCUAAAUUGUCUGGUGGGAACUCCAUUAACCAACACUAAUAUCCUAGCUGUCAAUAUACAAGCUCUAAUCUAACUCUUCCAUUUCCUUCCAAAUCCCAUUUUUUCAUACACAAAAUCUAAAAACUCCCAGCUAAUUGUGUCAUUGUCUUUUUUCAAAUCUACUUUGAAAAAUGGCCCCUCAUCCCUAUCCCUCCUCAUGUCAUCCACAACUUCAUUAACUAUAAAAGCACAAUCCACAAGUUCUUUCUUUCGUGAAAAUGAAGUGUUUGUUGCCUACCACCUCCUCUGUAACCGACCUUAACCUAUUAGCUAGUAUCUUAGCAAUGAUCUUGUAGAUACUUUCUACUAGGCUUAUAGGUCGGUAGUCCUUAAUGCUUUUUGAGGUUUUGCACUUAAGUAUAAGUGUAAUGAAAAUGGCAUACCUAACAAAUAAUUAAACAUAAAAAGACUAAAAUGAAUAUUAAAAAAAAGUAAGAAAGAUAUUAUUAGUGAUAAAAGAAAAGUGUAUAAUAUACUUUAAUGAAUUCCUAUCAUCUUAAAGAUAACAAUAGGUUAUGCCAUUAAAUCUAGUGUUCAUCAAUAAUUUGAGUUCCACAACCUCUACCAAUCAAAAUUUGAUUUUGUAAAAGAAUUUUUGACUGCCAAGUCGCUCCUCUAUUGUAAGCUUCUAUACAUAUCACAUCUUUAAAAGUGUUUCUGACACGAAGAUUACGUAUAUAAAAAUGUCUUUUUACGUGAAAAAUUAGCUGACAUGUUAUAUUUUAAUACUUAUCUAACAAAAAAUAUAAUUUAAUUGAUAAUAAAAAAGUAAUAAAAUUAUUAAUUUGUUAUAUUAUUAAAAGUAUAUGGAUUUAUCACUUUUAAUUAACAGUUUUAGACUUGACACUUGUAUAUAAAUGGAUUGAAGUUUUAGUGAUCCGAAAAGCAGAUGAGGGAUAACUCACUCUUGUGCUUGGUAUGUUUAACAAAGUAGUGUUGCCUCCUACUCCUAUGGCCAUAGCCCAUAAGCAAAUUGAUUCAUUUCUAGGCUUAAUGGGCUCUGUGAAAUGGGUGGGGAGUUCGCUGCAUGAAGCCCGCUACAAAGUCAUGCCUACUCAAAGUCAACCAGUUUAAACCUCGGUAAAAGUCAACAAGCUCUGUGAGCUGGUUUUAAAAUGUUAAUUAAUUAAUUAUAUAGUAUCCCUAAAUCCAAUUAAUUAGCAACUUGAAUUGAUUUGGAAUUUAGAUUAAUUUAAACUUAGAACUAUUUAGACGAUCUAUGAUAACCCAAGCAACAUCCACUUAAAAUCUGAAUUAGCCUCAUGAACUUGAGAUCUCUAGCAAUGUAAAUCUUAAAAAAUCUGAACAAUUUGUUUAAAUCACAUUUGAACUUCAAACAAUUUCUUUGCUGAUCAGUUUUAGAGCAUUGUGCGUUCCAAUUAUAUGCGUUUCACCUUGAUUUGACAACGAAGAAAAUAAGAAGUGGUUAGGAGAGUUUAGGGUCAAUGCCUCACAAAAUGAUGUUCAAUAGAAGAUUUAGUAAAUAAAUAGCAUAACUAAUUUAUAUAAAACUUUAAAUAAGCUCUAACAGAUACAAGGCUUUGAUUGAUUAGCAUAAACCGAAAAGAAAAUGACACCCCAACACAGAAAAUAAGACAAUAGGAAUUGGUUAAGAGAGUUUAGGGUCAAUGGCUCACAAAAUAAUGUUCAAUCGAAGAAUUGGUAAAUAAAUAGCAAAUGUAUAACUUUUUUUUUUAGGGAGGUGUAUGAUAGUUUGUUGGUGCAUGUCCUGUAUCUCUCACUUGGGAGCUAAUUGUUACAAUAAUUUAAUUUUAAUUGUAGGUAGGCCAAAUGUGAAAAAUAUAGUUGGGAAAUCGUCUUAAACAUAAUUAAUUAAAAUAACACUUAUUUCAGAUAUUAAUUAGAACAUAAUUAACGUUGUGAAAAGAAAAUCAUCAUUUUUUUUAAGAUAAAUUUUACAUAAAUCUUUUGUAAAAUUAUAUUUUUUUUCAAGUAACAUUUUAAAGAUAUAAUUCUUUUUUUUUAGUUUUUUGUACUGAUAAUAAAAUAAUCAAUAACCAAGUUUUGAAUUUCUGAAAUAUUUUGAGUUGGAUCAGGAGACUUUACAAUCAUAUGACCACUUAUGUUUCAAAAUCUCCGCGAGAAGCAUAUUUUAAUUAUAGGGAUCUAGAUAUUGGAACCAAUAACGUCGGCUAUACAAGUUAUGCACAAGCCAAUAUUUAGGGUCUGAAAUAUUUUAAGAAUAACUUCAACAGAUUGGUACAUGUAAAGACUAUGGUUGAUCUUGAAAAUUUCUUUAAAAAUGAACAAAGUAUCCUUCCUCUUUCAUCUUCGCCGAAGAACAAGGGUCUCUAGAGUAAAAGCGUUCAGAUUUUGUUAAGCAUGAAUAAAGAUGUCAAUGAAAAGUACAUUGCAAAUAAAGAGUUUCUUUGUUCCUAUUUCUGCCAUGAGAGAUUCAUGCCAAGUCUAAUAAAUUAUAACCUUACCUUGGUUUUGCAGCAAACUUGGUGUAGUUUUUGUUUAUCUUUUUUUUUUUUUGGCUUUAAGUUUGACAGUAACAAACUGCCUCAGAAUGUGUUAACAGAAGGCAGGGGUACAAGACCCCUGCAUAGUCAACAAACAGAUUAAGUUUAACAGAAAACGCAGGCGACAGGCUCUGAUACAUUUGGUAUUUUUGGUAUCUCUAUCGGAUAGCUUGAAGCAAAGCUUUGGAAUAACAGAUGAUUGUGCUCUAGGGAUAAAACCACACCCUUUCCUCGUGGAGUCACCACAACCUCAGAGUCCAAGUUCCACAGUGAAAUUGGCAAAGUAUAAUGUUUCUUUCUAAUCAGGCUAAAUUUAGAGCUUCAGAAUCCUUAAAGCUCAGCACAAGUACUCCCCUGAACAAGUCUAACAAAAUCAAUCUUAAAAAAUUCAAAGAAUAUGCUCAAAUCUCACUUGAGCUUCGAGCAAUUUCUUUUCCGAUCACUUUCAGAACAUUGUGCUUUCCAAUCAUAUGCGUUUCACAUAAUAGCAAACACUUGAUUGUCAAUAAAGAAAAUGAGAAGUGGUUAGGAGAAUUAAAGGUCAAUGGCUCACAAAAUAUUGUUCAAUAAAAGAUUUGGUAAAUAAAUAGCAUAUAUAAUUUAUAUAAAAUUUUUAAAUCAGAUCUAAUAUAUACAAACCUUUAAUUAACUAGUGUAAACCACACUACGAUAUUUUUUGGGCUUUGUAAAUAAAAUAGAACAUUUUUCCGGUUAUGCUUGAGGUUACAAUUUGAUUUAUUUUAAAAAUAUAAAUUACUUGAAGUUUUUGUUUAACAGGUAGAGUAUAUACAACCCUCAUUCAUUUAAAAAAAUUCUCACUUAUAAUUUUUUUAUAAAUCACUACUUUAAAAUGUUUUCCAAAUAAUUAUUCUUUAUUAUUCAAUUUAAUUAAAUCGUCAUUUUCAUUACAUUUUUUUGACUAAUUGUUUACUAAUUAAUUAAAUAAUUUUAUUAAUCAAAAUAGACACAUAAAAUAAAAAAUAGUAAUUGAGUUUGAGAUUUAUGCAUGAGUGGGCGAACUCUUCUAAAAACUUGGGUUGUAUUUCGGCCGGCACACUUCAAAGAUCAACCAGACUAAGGGCCGGAUCUGAACGGGUCUGGCUGAUCCGACCCGCUUCCUCUCAUUAGUCUUUCCCGUUUUCCUUUCCUAUCUCUUGAAACGGCGCCGUUUAAGAUCCUUACCCAAAAGCCCCUAAAAUCCCAUUUUCUGAUUACUCAACGCCUCUCCUCCUCUCUAAAAAUCCUCACCUUUCUUAACCUCCUCUCCUUUCGCCACCGUUCCGCCGUCGGCCACUGCUGAAACACCUCUCUUUUCUUUUCCUCUCCCUCUCUUCCAUCUAUCUUUUUACUGAUGUCCUUUUCCUCCAAAACAUUUCUUUUUCCCUGAAAAAGGACUAAAAACUGAAACCCAUUCCCCAAACUUCUGGCCGCCGUCGCUGUCAGUCGCAGCAGGAAUUCUCCUUCAUUCUCACCCUUGCCCUUUCCUCCAGAAUUCCGCUGGUUGAUUUCAAGCAGCAAUUAUUGCUCAAGAAAACAUGAGGUACAGCGACUGUGACUGUAUUCGCCAUUAGCAAGACCUUAGAACAAAAUGCAAUCAAAUUUCUUCACCGUUGGCAAUAUAUUGCCCAUGAUCUUCCUGAUGAAAUGUAAUCCUCGGUUACUUUAAAUAGGCAGAAUUCUAGUCAAGAUUGGAAGCAAACAAUUCUAGCUUCGUAAUGUAGCGGUAGCCUUUAUAUCAAAUAUAGACUCCAUAAUUCCAGCUUGCUUUUAGCUUUAAAAAAGGUCAAAGUGAGCUGUUAUGUCCAAUACUAAAGUUCAUGAUUAGUGGGUGGCCGUGUCACCUGUUGGCUCUCUCUAAGCAACCGUGACAGCUGGCCCUGCUUGAUGAUUCUUCGAACACCUUAUUUCAAACAAAUGCAACUUGCGUUUACCCUUUACUGCAGAUUUUAAAUUUAGUAAUCAUUUCAAUCUCCAGUCAAGUCAAGUAAAUAAUUUUUUAAAAAUAUAUAUAUAAAUAAAUAAAUAAUCAAUAAAAUAAAUUCUUUAAAAACAAAAAACUUAGAUGAAAGGAUAUACAAGCAUCAUAAAAUAAAACCUAUCUGGAUAUUGUACAAAUAAUGGACAAAUAUCCAGAAAAGUCCUGCUGAAUGACUACAUGCCCGAAUCCACCAGCAAUAUUAAAAAAGACUUGUCUGAAAAAGCUUUUAAUUAACAAUAAAAGCAGACCGAAUUUAGUGGUAUAUGUCCUACCAAAACCGCACUUAAGUCUGUCCGCAAACAUCAUAAUGACGUAGACCGCCACGCAUAAUGAGGUACACAUCUAUUUCAAGUCACUUUCGCGAACAAACUGGAACCUCAUCCACACCUCACGAUCCAUAUCCAGUUGAUCGAAUUUCGAGGUAUUUGUCCAACUAAAACCGCACUUAAGUCUAUCCGCAAGUCAUCAAAAUAAGGUAGACCGUCACUCACAAUGUGGUCCACAUCUCGUUCAAGCCACUUAAGCUUACAAAUUGGAACCUCAUGCACACCUCACGAUCCAUAUCCAGCGGACCGAAUUUCGUGGUAUAUGUCCAAUCAAAACCGCACUUAAGUCUAUCCGUAAAUCAUCAUAAUAACGUAGACCGCCACUCUUAAUGAGGUCCACAUCUAGUUCAAGCCACUUAAGUGUACAUACUGGAACCUCAUGCACACCUCACGAUCCAUAGCCAGAUGAUUCAAAACCGCUCGGCACACUCCAAGGUAAAAUCAAACUCUUACCCAACAGAAAAUCUAUUGUGAUUAAAACUCAUAAUUAUAAAUAAUAAAUAAAUAUUUAUAUUGUAAAAAAAAAUAAUAGAAACAGAAAGAAAAGAGAGAUGAGAGAAAGUUUUUUAUGUAUUAUUAAAAUAAUGUUUGGUAUGAAAAAUAUCUAGGUGGGGUGACCCAUGAAACUCUUUACAAAUCAAUGUUUAUUACAAUCUCCUAUUAAGAUAUAUAUCUCAAUUACAUUAUCUGUUUGAUAAAUCUUACAUUAUUACUUAAAAAAUAUUCACAUGUAUAUAAAUCUUAAAAUGUUUAAAAUGCGAAUAAUAUAUUUAUCAUUUAUUAAAUUUAUUUUAAUUUAAAUUGAUCUAAUAUAGUGUGAUAUGUCCAUAUUUCAUAACAAUUUGAUAUUUUAUUUUGCCUGAAAAUAUUGAUAUUUUUGUUUAAAAAUAGUCAAUUAUACUUUUGUUUGAAGUAUAGAAGAGGAGAAUUUUUUUUCAGGUAGAGUAUUAGCUAGAGGAGAAGAAUUUGCUAGCCUAGAAUCCUAGAUAUGCUCGAGCUAGGAACGAUGUACAGAAGAUCCAUAAUUCUAGUAUUUUACUCGAUUAUGAGCAUAAUAUUUAAAAUUAAUUUAGUUUUUAUUUUAAAAAAAGUAUAAGAAAAAGAACAAUAAUGUCAAUUGAAAAUUUUAAUUCAUCAAAUAAAUAAAUAAACAUUAGAAAAAUAAAAAAAAUAUUUGAUCAAUGAUUGUAGAAGAAAACAAAAAUAUUUAAUAAUUUAUUUUGCAAUAUCAUUUCAAAUAAUUUAGCAUUGUUCUUUCCUUACAUCCACACUUGUGUCAAUGAUUCAUCCUUUGUAAUGCUUUAAAAUUGAAUAGUUCUAAUCAAAAGCAGUCUCUUACCUACGGCUCCCAUCUGUAUUAGAAAUGUUCUAGAUGCUUAGAGCACAUUCCUUUGCAUUAGAAAAAGAAGUAGUGAUUAUUAUAAUUUGCUUUUUUAGUUGCAUCAGAAAUGUUGUAUUUGCGAAGAGAUAAGAUGAAUAUCCUCUCAACAAUGUUAUUAUCUAUAAAAUCAUAAGACUUUCAUAUAAAAUCAAAAUAUUUUAUUGAAUUACAUACAUUGAUAGAAAUCAUAGGACUUUCAUAUAAAAUCAGAAUAUUUUUAUUGAAUUACAUAUAUUGAUAGUCGGUGAUGCACCUUUAUAUACAGAACACUAUAGCUAAUCACAAUAUGUGUACUAAAGACCAUAUCAACUAAUGAAGGUAAUGUCCUACAAUCUUGCUAGGAAUUCUAGCCACGAAUCAUGCAAGUCAAUGAUUCUGCAAUUAUAGAAAAGAUUUUGCAAAUAUUAUGAAGAGCAGCAAUGAAAGGAUUCUGCAAAUAUUAUGGAAAUGAUUGAUUCUGUACAUCAAGAUUGUCAAUACUCCCCCUCAAGUUGGUGCAUGAAGAUUUGAGAUGCCCAACUUGGCAAGCAGUUCAAGAAAACGAUCUCGUCCAAGAGCUUUUGUAAAUAUAUCAACCAGCUGGUAUGUAGUGGAAAUGUGACAAGGAUAUAGUACCUUCAACUGAAUGUGAUGCCGAACGAAGUGGCAGUCUAUUUCGAUGUGCUUCGUUCGUUCAUGAAAAACUGGAUUUGAGGCAAUAUGGAUUGCAGCUUAGUUAUCACAAAAUAACGAAACAUGAGUAGAACAUAUGACACCAAAGUCACAAAGUAGUUGAAUCAACCAAAUUAUCUCACUAGUGAUUGUAGCCAUGGCUCUGUAUUCUGCUUCUGUCGAAGAGCGAGAAACAACUGUUUAUUUCUUUGCCUUCCAAGAAAUGGGGGAGGACCCAAGAAACAUAAUAUACCCAGAAGUAGAUCGCCGGGUGAAGGGGCAUCAUGCCCAAUCAGCAUUGCAAUAUGCACGAAGUGUGAGUGAAUUGUCAGAUGGAAGAAAGAUACCCUGGCCUGGUGCAUUCUUCAAAUAGCGGAGUACUCGAUAAGCGGCCUCCACGUGUGACUGUCGUGGAUCACGCAUAAACUGACUUAAUAUAUGAACAACGUAACUAAUAUCAAGGCGUGUGAUGGUAAGAUAAAGUAACUGACCCACAAGACGCUGAUAUUGUCCUGGAUCUUCACAAGGCUCGCCAGAUCCUGCAAUUAGUUAGUGGUGCUGCUCCAUGGGAAAUGCAGCAAGUUUACUACCCAUCAUGCCAUUUUCAGCCAAAAUAUCUAGCACGUACUUGCGUUGACAUAAGGCAAUGCCAGUAGGUGAUCGUGCAAUCUCAAUGCCAAGGAAAUAUUUUAAUUUUCUAAGAUCCUUGAUGUGGAAUUUAUAAUCUAAGUACCGUUUCAAGAAAUUAAUUCGAGUCGAAUCUGUGCCCGUGAUGAUGACAUCAUCCACGUAAAUCAAGACAGCAACAAGGGAUUUACCAUGACAUGAUGUAAACAACGAAUGAUCAGCAUGUGAUUGUUGAUGACCAAUGGCUAUGAGAGAGGAAGUAAAUUUUUUAUACCAAUUUCGCGAUAUUUGAUGGAGUCCAUAAAGAGAUUUUUGUAAUUGACAAACACGAUGCUCCCCCUUACGUGCAAAACCCUAUGGAAUCUUCAUGUAGACUUCUUUGUCCAAGUCACCAUGAAGGAAUUUAUUGUUUACAUCCAAUUAGAGUAACUCCCAUUUAUGAGCAGCAACGACAGCUAGUAGACAUCGAAUAGUAACUAACUUGGCAACCGGUGCAAAAGUCUCAUGAAAGUCUAUCCCUUCAACUUGAGUGAAACCUUUGGCCACUAGUUGUGUUUUAUAACGCUCCACACUACCAUCCGGAUUGUACUUGACUUUGUAAACCCAUUUUGAAUCAAUAGCAUGUUUACCUUUCGGUAGAGUGGUGAAUACUCACGUUUUGUUUUCCUCCAAUGCUAAAAUUUCUUUGGCCAUAGCGUUUUUCCAGUGAUCAUGCUUUAUUGCCUGAGAAAAGGUUUUUGGCUCAUUUGUGAUGGAAAUGGCCGCUAAGAAGGCAUUAUGAGUAUAAGAAAAUCGAUUAUAUGUGAGAUGCUUAGAUAAAGGAAAUAUCAAUGAGUUGGCUGAUGGUGGAGUGGGCUGUGAUGGAGCGAGAGAGGGCGGAAGCACAAAAUUGUAAUCUGCCAAUGUGCUAGAAAUUUUUCUAGUGCUUUUAGUUAGAGGAAGAGGUAAAGUUCUUGUGGAUUGAGUAAUUGAAGGUGCCACUGUCUCAACGGUUGUAACAUCAUGAGUGGGAGGAGUCCCAUGUGACCGAUCAUGACCCAAGACUUCCUCAUGAACAGUUGCAUGAUCAUUGGUAAACUAUGUAUUAUCAAGGCUUAGCUCUUUUGUGACCCGUGAGCCUGUAUGCCCCAUGUUAGGCUGUUCCGUGUGAUCCAACAAAAUGUGCUCAUGGUUGUUGCCCAUAAGAUUUGUUGUGUCUCUCAUAGAAUUUUUAUGAGAAUUUGCUAGUGGACCGCCAAUAUUUUGUUAAAUUCCUUCUGCUGCAAAAGGGAAAUAAUCUUCAUAGAAAGUAACAUCUCGAGAAGUAUAAAUGUACUUAUCUUCGAGAUUGAAAAUACGAUAUCCCUUUUGACCAUUAAGAUAGCCUACGAACAUUCAGGUUGAGAUCAUGGGGCAAAUUUAUCUCGAGGCCUGCUGUUUACAUGCCCAUAACAUAAGCAACCAAAGCUCCUCAAGUGCUUAUAAGUUGGAGCCUUUUCAAUCAAUAAUUCAUAUGGUGUUUUGUCUCGCAAAACAGAAAGAGGCAUUUGAUUAAUUAAGUAGGUAGCUGUCAAGACACACUCACCCCAAAAUUGAAUGGGCAGAUUAGCAUGAAAUCGUAAUGCCCUGACAACCUCCAACACAUGUCGAUGCUUACGUUCCACCACUCCAUUUUGUUAUGGAGUGUCAGUGCAACUAUAUUGAUGUUCCAUCCCAUUUUCACUGUAGUAAGUCAAUAAGUCCUCAUGGUUGAAUUCGAGACCAUUGUCAGUUCGCAGAAUCUUAACUGCCAAAUUAAAUUGAUUCCUCACCCAAUGGAAGAAAUGAAGCAAAUAUUUUCUUGUUUCAGACUUGAAUUUCAUAAGAUAAACCCAAGUGACUCAACUGUAAUCAUCUACGAUGGUAAGAAAAUAAUGUGCUCCUGAAUAAGAUUGAGUGCGAUAUAGACCCUAGAUAUCACAAUGAAUCAAUUCAAAAAUGCCAUUAGUUUUAUUCGUGCGAACAAGAAAAGGUAACUGUGUCUGUUUCGCUAUGCAGCAUGCAUCACAAAAUAAAUGUUUAUGAGUAUCAAAGUAACAAGAUAAGUUAGGAAUCACAAAGAAUUGAUGAACUGGUAGAUGUCCCAAUCGACGAUGCCAUAAACUCGCGUUCCAUUUCCUGUUUGCCACCAAUGCCAUGCCCCCUUUCGUGGAUUCCAAAAAAUAUAAGCCUCUCCUCGCUUUACCCACUCCAAUCAGCUUCCUAGAACAUAAGUCCUGUAUCACACAAAAAUCAGGCCAAAAUAUCAGCAUACAAUUCAAGUUCUUUGUCAGUUGUGUCACUGAUAUCAAAUUAUAACAAAACUCUAGUAUGCCAAGGACAUUAUUCAGAACCAAACUUUUGCCAAUGAUCACUUGCCCUAAGGCUCGCACAUCAACUGUCUCUCCAUUAGGAAUCUCGACUGGAGGUAUGUUAGGAUUUUUUACCACAUUGGAUAAUAUCUCAAUCUGACAAGUGAUAUGAUCGAUGGCCCCUGUAGCAAGGACCUAAGGUAUUAUAAAUGCAGUCUUACAAGAAAAAUUAUCAUUUAUGGAGUUUGCUGCCACCAUAUUUGCUGAAGAAGUUUUUUGGGUUUGUGUCUUUAAUAAAGCCAUCAGCUGUUGGUGUUGUGUACUUGACAGGCUCGGAAUUAAAAGAGAUCCAGUUUCCACAUUUGCUGCAAAAGACCCACCCACAUGUGUCCCUGUGUGUGAUGACGAUACACCAUUACCUCGACUUGCUUCUUGACCCCGUCUGCGACUUUGUGGUUUGCGCUACCAGGAAGGAUACCCAUUUAGCGCAUAACAGUUUUCACGUGUAUGGGUCAUCUUGUGGCAGUGGGUGCAAUGCAAAUUUUCAUCGCCGCUACUUCCAUAUUGACAAUCUUGAUGUACAGAAUCAAUUAUUUCCAUAAUAUGAAGAAAUCGGGGUCUUCUCUUGCUGGAGGAGAGCGAUGACACGUUUUAACUCAAAAACUCUAGGAGCAAUCCCUUGAGUGAAGCGUUUUUCCAAGUCUGACCAAACUUCACUUGCAAUGUCGGCAUGGGCAGCGCUUCCUUGGAUCUCUUUAGCUAGUGCAUUCAUUAGUCACGACAACACUAUUGUGUUGCAUCGCAUCUACAACUGAAAAUCUAGAGACUUAACAUCUGGUUUCUUUAUGCUUCCGCCCACGAAUCCUACUUUGUUCUUGGACUGUAAUGCAUUUAGGAAAUUAUGCCUCCAAGUGAAGUAAUUUUCACCAUUUUCACUAAGAGAAUGUGUUACGAAAAUCAAACCUAGGUGAUUAGAGGAAUGCAAAUGAUAUGGUGAAUUUGUAUCGACUGCAACGGUUUGGGAUGUAUUUGCAACCGGUAGCAAAUCCCCAUUAACGUUAUCUGUUGUACCUCCACACAUGCCUGCAAAACAGAUUUAAAAAAAGAGACCUGCUCUGAUACCAUAUACAAUCAUAGGACUUUCAUAUAAAAUCAGAAUAUUUUUAUUGAAUUACAUACAUUGAUAGCCGAUGAUGCACCUUUAUAUACAGAACACUAUAGCUAAUCACAAUCUGUGUAAUAAAGACCAUAUCAGCUGAUGAAGAUAAUGUCCUACAAUAUGGCUAGGAAUUCUAGCCACGAAUCAUGCAAGUCAAUGAUUUUGCAAUUAUGAAAAGGAUUCUGCAAAUAUUAUGGAGAGGAGUGAUGAAAGGAUUCUGCAAAUAUUAUGAAAAUGAUUGAUUCUGUACAUCAAGAUUGUCAAUAUUAUCUGUAGGCUGAAUCGAAAGCAUGACAAUAUAAUAUACACUAUCAUAUUUGUCAGCAUUAAUUUGUAUCUAACCUCAUACUGACUUGCUGCUGAUAAUAAAUGGUUUAUCAAAAGCACCAAAUUUGAAGCCUAAAAUCAAACGCACCUUACACUAGACAACUUUAUCAAAUAAAAGAUUCUCAAUUAAACAGUAAAAGUUAGUUAUGGAGAGACAAUUAAUUAAUCAUCACAUAUUAUUUGUCUGAAAUUUUUGGUUACUUACAUUUUAAUUUGCCUUUUUACAUUUAUUAUUUUGUAUGCUUAUUGCAGCGGGCACUGGGCAGGCUAAUCAACCAAGAAAAAGAACGAAGGGAGGCACCAUAUUGUCAAUCGCAAUGUAUAUAGUAUUUCUUUUGGGGACUAAUUAAAUUACUCACUAACUUACCAAUUUUAUGAAAAAGGUUUGUGGGGAUCAGGGGCCUACCGCCAGCCACCAUCCUCCCUCGCCUGGCCCCUCCUAUCCUAUGUUUAACCCUUUUGAUAGACAUGGCAGGUCUUCAUGGAGGGAGUAAAAUUUACAGUUACACCAAAAAAAUAAUAUCAAGUAUUUUCUAUGUGAGCUGGAAAUAAAGGAGAAUGUGCACUGGGAGAAGGUUCGCCAAAGAUUUGAUAAUUGCUUCAUAUAGCAUGAGAUUGUGAUCAAAGAUGGGAUAUAGUCUUAGCUCUUGAUGAGGUGAUAUAGUCUAAAAAGGAAUAUAUCUUUUAGGUGGUUUAACCCAAUGUAGAUUUAUAAAUUAAAUAAGGCUAAUAAAAAUCUAUAGACAAAAUAUUAGUAUUAAUUAAGUUCUUAAUUAAUUUUUUUAUAAUUUUUUUAAGAAUCUUACUAAAUAUACAUUUUUUUCAAAAAAUUUAAAAUAAGUAUAAUUAUAGAAUAACAAUCAAAACAAAAAACAAUUAGUGAUCAAGACCACAUCACACCAACUUGACAUGUAUGAAAAAAAUUAUAUUUAUUUUAUCAUAAAAUCAAGCCAUAAAACAUACAAACAAUAGAAUGAUCAGGCAUACCUAGCAAAUAAUUUUUUUUUAAAAAAAAAGGAUUAAAAAUAAUAUGAAAAAUAAGUAAGAAAGAUAUUAUUAAUUAUAAAAGAAAAGAGUAUUCUAUACCUCAAUGAAUUCUUCUCAGCCUAAAGAUAACAAUGGGUUAGGCCAUUCAAUCUGGUGUUCAUCAAUAAUUUACGUCCCACAAGCUCUACCAAAUAAAAUUUGAUUUUAUAAUAGAAUUUCUGAUUACCGAGUUGCUCUACUGAUGUAAGCUUCUAUACAUGUCACAUCUUUAAACACGGGCAGAGUAUCCUUUCACCACGGGCCGUGGUUUCUCCAAAAUUUUUUAAAUUUUUUAUAUAUUAUAUAUCUUUUAAUGCGUUCUUCAAUAUAAUUGUUAUUAAAUAAUUAAUAUAAAUAAUAAAAUAAUUUCAGAAACCCAUUUAACUUUACCCUAAUUCUUAAACACCUCCCCCCCCGACCCUUUUAAAUUUCUCCACAGCUUUUUCCUCUCUUUCUUCUUCCCUUUUUCUUCUUUUUUGUUAUUUCAAUUCUAUUAUAUUUAAUCAUAUGCUAUGAGUUUCUAUAAUUUUUUUUUAAAUUUUUACAAAUCAUAAAUCAUUUUUUUUUCUGUUAUGUAAAUUUUAUAUUCAAUGAUUUAUGUUUAAAAUUUUAAAAAUUAUUAUGUAAUUCUUAAAUAUAAAUUGUAGCAUUACAUUAUAAAUUGUUACUUAAAAUUUCAUCAUAAUAUAAUUUUUUUAUUAAUUCUAAUUAUACAAAAAAAAUUUAUAUGUUUUACAUUUUAUAUUUAGUUGAAAAUGAAUUAUCUGAGUAUUUAAUUUUUAAAUAAUCUUGAUUAUAUAAAAAAAUUAGUAAUAUUAUAUAUCAUAUUUAACUAUUUAUAUUUUAUUAAUUAUUCAUCUUCCUUUAUAAUUUCUCAACAAAAAUUAAUUAACUCCAUCUUUUCUUUAGAGAUGUUUAUGAUACAAAGAUUACUUAUAUAAAAGUGUCUUCUCACUUGAAAAAUUAGCUGACAUGUUAUAUUUCAAUUCUUGUCUAAUAUAAAAUAUAAUUUAAUUGAUAAUAAAAAAGUAAUAAAAUUUAUUAAUUUAUUGUAUUAUUAAAAGUAUUUGGAUUUAUCGCUUUUAAUUAAUAAUUUUAGAGUUGACAUUUGCCUAAAAAUGGAUUGAAGUUUGCUGAUCCGAAAAGCAGAUGAGGGACAGCAAACUCAUGUGCUUGGUAUCCUACGCCUAUGGUCAUAGCCCAUAGGCUAAUUGAUUCAUUUCUAGGCUUAAUGGGCUCUGUGAAAUGGGUGCGCAGCCUGCUGCAAAAAUCAUGUUACAAAAGUCAAGCCUCCUAAAAGUCAGCCAGUUUAAACCUGGCUAAAGGCCAACCAUCUCUGUGAGCUGGUUUUAAAAUGUUAAUUAAUUAAUUGUACAGUAUCCUUAAAUCCAAUUAAUUUUCAACUUGAAUGGAUUUGGAAUUUAGAUUAAUUUAAACUUAGAACUAUUUAGACGAUCUACGAUAACCUAAGUCAAAUCUACUUAAAAUCUGAAUUAACCUCAUGAACUUCAAAUAUCUAGCAAAAUCAAUCUUAAAAAAUCCGAACAAUUUGCUCAAAUCUCACUUAAACUUCAAACAAUUUCUUUUCUGAUCACUUUCAGAACAUUAUGCAUUCCAAUUAUAUGCGUUUCACAUAGUAGCAAACACUUGAUUGUCAAUAAAGUAAAUGAGAAGUGGUUAGGAGACUUAAGGGUCAAUGGCUCACAAAAUAUUGUUCAAUGGAAGAUUUGGUAAAUAAAUAGCAUAUAUAAUUUAUAUAAAUUUUUAAUAGAUACAAGUCUUAAUUAAUGGGCUUAUAUUUAAUGUACUAACAAUGUAUAAUUUUUAUACAUAAGACAUAAAAUCAUAUCAUCUCAUUAAAAAAUAAAUUCAAAAUUUUAAGGGAUUCAAAAAUAAAUAUUAUUAAGUUUUUUAAAAAAAUUAAAAAAAUCAAUAAUUUUUUUAUCUCUCUAACUCUCUCUUAUUCAAUCUCUUUCUCUUUUUCCCUCAACAACAAUAGAUUCAAAAUCUGAAUUUUUUUUUUUGAAAAGUAAAAUUCUGAAUUCUGAAUUUUGAUUUUUCAAAGUAAUGUUUAUUGUACUUUUUUUCUUAAUUUAAUUCUUAAUAUUUGUUUCACUCCUUUGUUUGAAAUUACUUUGAAAAAAUGAUAACAAUAAUAAGGUAAAAUUUUUGAUUUGUUCAGCAAUGUCUGAUUUGCCUUGGAGUAAGUAGAAUGAAAUGAAUAAAGCAAUUGGAAAAGGUGGAAAGCAAAACAUCAACUCUAAAAAAUAUUACUGCAUUCUGAGAAUAUAAAUGCAACAGGUCUCAAUCUGCAUAGCAACGUGCAGUACACAAAAAAUUUGUAAAACUCAAGCUUUUUUCAAUACCUAGCAAGUCCACAAAUUCUAGGUUCGUUGGAGAUUGAACAGGACGAAGCAAAAAUCUAUCGAAUACAACUUCUUUUAGAUUUAUGAAUAAAUGAACCCAAAAAACAACCCUGAAUAAAAAUUUGUAAAUAAAAAUUUAUUUAUUUUUUAUCGCGUAAGUCCCACAAGAUUAUCACAUUAAAACUUGAAAACGAUAUCUUCACAGUGUGAGUGUCAAAAGUGUUCGAAAAGCCUUUUUGCUAAUCAAAUAAAAAUGAUAAAUAAACAAUAAUAAUAUAUAAAAAAUGGUAAACUAAGAAGAAGAUUGAAAUAAAUAUUAAAUCAAAAUUAAGAUUUUAAAAUUAUGAAAUUAUAACAUCAAAGAAAGAACAAGAGAAAAAGAAGAGAUAGGGUGAAAUGGAGCUGGAGAAGAAAAUUUUUUUUAAUUUUUUAAAAUAAUAACAUUUAUUUUUAAGUCUCUUAAAAUUUUAGAUUUAUUUUUUUAGUGAAAUGGUACCAUUUGAUACCCUAACAAUGUAUUAGAGUUAUAAUACUAUCAAAUAUAAAUUACAAUAAAAUACUUCAAUAUGGUUCUUGUUGAUCGUCAACGUGAAAAGUUGUCAUGAAAGUCAGGUUUUAUAAUCUGUUUGGUUGAAAUUUAUAUUAAGAAUAAGCUUCAGGUCAAAAAGGCUUGAUAAGUCGUCACCUAAUCCUUCAAAAGAAAAAAAAUAAAAGUCAUUCCCGAAGGUACACGUCUCUUUUCACCUCCUAUGCACGUAAUCUCUUUGCGCUAUAAAUAAAGGACAGGCUUGACAAAGUGGUCACCCAAUCCUUCAAAAGAAAAAUAAAAUAAAAGGCCAUCCCCAAAGGUUCGCAUCGUUUUUAACCUCCUAUGCAAGCAAUCUCCUUACGGUAUAAAUAAAGGAACUCAAUAAACUCAUAUGCACAAAAUUAGCUUUAGAAAAAUGAAGUCUCUCCACCUUUUAGUAUUUCCAUUUCUUUUCGCUGCUCUCUUCUCAUUGUCAUGGGCAACUUCGGCUCAUACUCAUGAGCGUUUUCUUCAUUGUCUUUUCCUUCGUUCCGAGAACUCUUCUUUCAUUUCUAAAAUCAUCUACACACAAAAUAAUUCUUCCUAUUCCUCUAUUUUGAAAUUUUUUAUGUAUAAUCUCAGGUUCUCCACGUCAACUAUCCUCAAACGUCAAGUCAUUAUAACACCAUUUCAUACAUCCCAUGUUCAAGCAACAAUUUACUGUUUUAAAAAACAUGGACUCCAAAUUAGAAUUCGAAGUGGUGGUCAUGAUUUAGAAGGUCUUUCUUAUGUCUCUGAAGUUCCAUUUGUCAUAAUGAUUUUGAUUAAUUUUCGAUCAGUUGACAUUGAUGUGGAAAACAAAAUUGCAUGGGUUCAAUCUGGUGCAGUUCUUGGUGAGCUAUAUUACAGAAUUGUUGAAAAAAAGUAAAACUCUUGCCUUCCCAGCUGGUAAUUGUCACACUGUGGGUGUUGGUGGAUAUUUUAGCGGAGGAGGUUAUGGCUUAUUAUUUCGAAAAUAUGGUCUUGCCGCUGAUAACAUAAUUGAUGCCCAAUUCAUUGACGUUAAUGGACGAAUUCUUGACAGAAAAGCCAUGGGAGAAGAUUUGUUUUGGGCCAUUCGAGGAGGUGGAGGGGGUAGCUUUGGCAUUGUCAUCGCAUGGAAAUUAAAGUUGGUUCCUGUUCCAGCACUGUGACUGUUUUCACCAUUAACGGAACAUCAGAACAAAAUGCAAUCAAACUUGUCCACCGUUGGCAAUAUAUUGCACACAAGCUUCCUGACGGAACAUUCUCCUUCGUUGCUUUAAGAAGUGUGAAUUCUAGUCAAGAUGGGAAAAAGACGAUUUUAGCUUCCUUCAGGUUAUUCUUUCUCGCUGGCAUUGAUGAGCUUGUUCCAUUGAUGCAAGAGACAUUUCCAGAGCAUGGACUAGUAAGGGAAGACUGCACUGAAAUGAGUUGGAUUGAAUCUAUUCUCUACUUCGGUCAAAUUCAAAAUAAAUCCUUGGAUAUUUUACUUGAUAGGACUCUACAAAGUCCUCUCAUUAGUCCAGUCUUCAAAGCAAAAUCUGACUAUGUAAAGGAACCUGUUCCUAAAAUUGCGUUAGAAGGGCUAUCGUCAAAGCUUCAUGAGGAAGAAGCAAAAUCUGCCGGUAUACUUUUUGUGGCUUAUGGGGGGAUAAUGGAUGAGAUUCCAGAGACUGCAACUCCAUUUCCGCAUAGAGCUGGCAACUUAUACAAAAUCGCAUAUACCGUAGGUUGGCAAAAAGAAGACAACAAAAAUUCCCAGAAGUACAUAAGUUGGAUUAGGAGAGUUUACAGCUAUAUGAGCUCCUUUGUUUCACAAUCACCACGAGAGGCAUACAUCAAUUAUAGAGAUCUUGACAUUGGAAUUAACAGUAAAGGUAACACCAGUUAUGCACAAGCGAGCAUUUGGGGUUAUAAAUAUUUAAGGAAUAACUUUGAUAAGUUGGUGAGGGUGAAGACAAUGAUUGAUCCAGAAAAUUUCUUUAGACACGAACAAAGCAUCCCUCCGCUUUUGUUUGUGUGGAAGAAAAGAGGCAAUUAGAGUAUAUAUAAUUUUGGUAAAGCAUCCUCGAGUAUUUGGUUUAUUGGUUGGUGCAUUAUCUUCUUGUCUAAAGAGUAGGGUUCGAAUCCUCUCUUCUUCAAUUAUAUAAAAAAAAUAUAUAACCUUGGUGGACACUGAUACUCAAAAAGCAUACAAUAAAUGAUUUUGAUGGAAAUUAUAAUGCUAGAUAAAAUGUUUGAUUAGUUCUUUGUUACCAUUUCUGGCUGGCAUAAUGCAUGAGUGGUAUGCAUAGCCUAAUAAAUAACAUACCAUUAAUUACCUUUGGUUGAAACAAGUUACUGCGUGUUGACAAUAAUAAAUUUUAGCCUUUCUUUCUCCAGAUUUUAUUAUUAGAUACAA